GCAGAAAAUCCUUCAUUUAUACGUGUCAAUUUCUUUAUUUUAACAAAGGAUGAGACAAGUAAAGCAUCCAAAUUGGCAUACUCAACAAUUUUGAGAUCACUAAAUAUUAUUUUCUACGGCCUCUAUCUUAAAAAAGGCUAUCAAUUCCCGCGGCGCUCCAUCCCUGUCGUGUACUGAAGCUCUGUAAUUUCCGGUGGGAUUAGGCAAAGACUCGUCCUUAGCCGCAACAACAAGCAAAUAUAAGGUGCCUGAUACAAAUGUUAUCUCAGACGAAAUCAGUUUUUCAAAAACUAAAUUGUUUGUGGCGUUCUUGUUGUACUCAGAAACGGCCCACUCUCCGAUCUCUGUCGCGUUUAAAUCGAUGCCGUCUAUAGGGUUCCAGGAACCGGGAACGUUGUUUGUUGUAGUGGCGGUUACCAGAGAAACCAGUAGAGCAAAGAGUGCGAGGAAGAAGCAAUGAGGAUGCAUUUUGUAAACAAUGAGUUCUGUUCAAGGAGCAAUAAGACUCGAGACAAUUCUUAUUGGUGCAUGGAGAAUUGUACAACAUAGCGUCAAAUACUUGUUUAUAUAUUAGAUAAGCAUGGAUAUUGUGCACUGAAUCGAGACAGACUAGCUGGUAUAGAAAGUAAUAAUUGUCAAGAUUGAUAAGCUUGCGAAAUUUUUCAAAAUGAUCGGUAUUUCUUCCGUGUCAUAAAAUAGAUAUGCAGAAAUACAAAAAAUUAUAUUAUUUUUAAAAUGUAAAAUUUGAGCAGUUCAAUGUAAUUAUUUUAAAAAUUAAUACAUUGUAUUUUAACGCUUCCAAAUUACUUAAAUUGACUUUAAGUCACUUCUCCAUACUCAAUAUGUGUCCAAAUAAAAAUUUUGUGCAAAACAUGACUAGAUUCAAUGCAAAACAUUACACGAUGCUCUAAUUAUUCAGGUUAUUUUAUUUUAUUUGGAAAAGUAAAGAUUUUAAUAAAACCAAAACCAAUCAUUUCCAAUUUGUAAGAUGAACGGAAUCAGGAAGCAAUGCAUUCAAUGUAUAGCUUUGCUAAGACUAUCCUUGAUAUAUUUCAAAGGAAAAAAACCAACAAAAUAUCUAUAAAAUUAAACAAAUAAAACGUUAAAUUGUGGGUGAAAAAAAUGAUGGUACUUGUAACAAAAAAAUGAUGGCGCCCUCCUCCUCCGUGUUGGUUUAAAGUUAACGUUGAUGAAGCGUUCAACGCCACGACAAAUACUGGGGUUAUCGGGAUUGUAUUCCACGAUGAAGCCGGUAGCGCUAGAGGUUUCGCUCGCAAAAUAUCUCUACGUCACCUCCCCAAAAAUUGUUGAGGUCCUAGCAGCUCGUGACUGAGUUUUCCUAGCCUUGGAGCGGAACUGGCAGCAGAUUUUUCUGGAGUUGAUGCUCUGCAAGUUACUGAAGCACUGGACAGUGUGCACAUGGGCGAUCCUCUGGCUUCGAUUUAAUUAUUGAAGAUAUUAAAGCUUGUCUCACUGAUUUUGCGAUUUCAAAACUGUCAUGUUCGUAAAACCUCCAAUGCGGCGGCCCAUAGAUUGGCCAAGUUGGUCUUAAUUUCUAGUUAUUCAAGUUGUUGGUUUGAUGAGGACAUUAUUAUUAGUUCAUUAUGAGGUUAAGCUCAUCCACUCUCCUUUAGUAUAAAUAAUGUUGUUUGUUAAAAAAAGAAAAAAAAAAAAGUGAGCUCCAUAAAUAAUCCAGAAUGUCCUCCUUAAUUGUAAUUCCCCAUGAUGAUGAAUAAAAUUGUUAUGUUGUUUCUCUAAAAAAAAAACGAUAGUAUUUGUAACAAAAGAACGGUGAUAUUGUAAACGUACCAACACUCCAAACUAUAUUAAUAUACUGAUGAGUGAAUUUUAUAUUAUAUAUUUAAUCCUAUUCUUAGUAUAUUUUGGUUAAUAUUUUGAAAGAAUUUUGAUACUUUGAGUUGUAUUUGUGAUAUAGGACUUUCGACUUCCUUUAGAGCAAAACAUGACCAAAUGGACGAAUUUUUGAGUAAUUCCAGUUGGAGGACGUUCGUGAGUCACUUGGGUUGAUCGUAUCAAAAUAUCAGAUUUUUUCUACCAAACGAUGAUUUUCUGACGAUAGAAUACAUGAGCAGUGCGCGGUGCUGGAAAGUGACCUUUUUUUGCUUGAAUUGCAUUUUUAAAGCCCAAGAUGACCUCGAAUGGGUUUGCGGCCUUCUGGAGAUGUGUUCAGAGUGUCCCGAUCUUCAAAACAAACUAUCUUGUGCCGGAUUUGGAGGAGAUUUGAGGCAAAAACGUGGCUGGACAUUUUAUGUGCAGUUUAUCCUAACUUAAUUAGGACUUUAUGUUUUAAUAUAGGGGUGUGAUAUCCACACACCCCAUUUUACUUCUCACACACCUUUUUAAUUUUCGGCCGUCGGAUCGGAUGAAUUGAAGAAGAUCAACGAACAGAAAUCAUCCAGAGGUGUGUGAGAAGUAAAAUGGGGUGUGUGGAUAGCACACCCCUUAAUAUAUUUUAUUAUUAGUUAGCUUCCUAGUGGAAAUAAGAGACUUGGUUCUCAGGGAUUGUGCCGUUGGCUUUUAGGGAUAUAUUUAAGGUUUUAGUCAGCCCUAGUUUGGGCUACGCUUUCUUUUAUACAACUUUGAAGACAGAGAAUAAUUGCUAGGGUUCUUGGAGAUUUUCUACUUUAAGGUGUUUUCAUUCCUUUUCUUCAUAAUAAUAUUUUCUUUGAUUUUUAUUAUGAGCAUGCGUAACUAAUUCCUUUGCUAGGGCGAGGCCAUGAGCCUUAGCAUAAAUAUGUAAUUUUAUUAACUUACUUAUGAAUGGAUGCAUGCUUGCUUUGAAUUAUUAAUCACUGCGAUUAAAACUUUCUAUAUAUUUUAAUGAUUGAUCACCAUUAGGAAAUUUAGAUAAGUAAUUUGAUGCAAUUUUUGUUGGAACAUCACCCUGAAAUUGAGGAAGGCUUCUUGUGAUUAGUAAUUGUAAGUUUAUUUAAGGCGAACAUCACGCUCUUAAGGGUUGCAUGGUUUUUCAGAGGGUUUUCACAAAGCUUAAUGAGGCUUGCAUGUUUAUAUUUGAUCUAAACAUCACAGACGGAUUGCAUGUUAGAUAUUAGUUUUCGCUUGAACAUCACAAGGAAAAUAUGCAUUAGGAAAACCUAACCUUCAAAGCAUGUAUGUGGAAAUUCAUAAGUAAUUGAUAGAAUUGCAUAGGAUUGUGAUGGUGAUGGCUAAACCCUAGAUUUCUCUAAAUUGUUAAUUUUAAAAAUGUUUUUCUUCUUUGCUGCCAUUAUUUACAACUUUCAGAUUUCUUUUAUUGUUAAUUUAAUCUAUUUAAAUUCAUAAAUCUCAAAUCUUUGAUAAAAUAUGUUUUAAUAGUCAAUUCAGAGUUAGUUUAAACACAAAUUAUUCAAACAAUCUUUGGGGACAAUGACCUUGCAUGAGCAUUUAUACUACAAUUACCUUGUAUUCUUACAAGUAUUUUCAGUGAUUUUAACCCUAUUUGCGCAGGUACUAAAAAUCCUAUCAUAUACUGUCUUUUUUUGUUUUUUGAGCAAACAAUAGUAUCUACACAAAGGAGAAGUGGGGGAGUGGGCUAAGCCUUACAAUAGGCUUGCCAUAAUAAUGUGGUUCAACUUUGCCUUUGACAAUAAUCGAACAUAAGACUUCUCACUUACAAAUGAAGAGGAAUAUCACUAGACCGUAGUACUAAGUAGAACAAGCGACUUGAAUUGGCUUUAAUCUUCUGUACCCACUUUUCCAUACUUAAUAUUUGUGUCUGAAUAGAAUUAUUGUGAAGAAAAAAAAUGACUAGAUUUAAUGCAAACCGUUACGCGAUGCUCCAAAAUUUAAUUCAAUGCAGACCGUUACGCGAUGCUCCAAAAUUUAAUUUAAUGCAAACCGUUACAUGAUGCUCUAUUUAUUUGGAAAAUAUAUAUUUUAUUAAAACCAAAAUCCAUCCUUUCCAAUUUUUAAAAGAUACAUGGAAUCGGGCAGCUUUCGAUGUAUAGCUUUGCUAUAUAAAACCAUAAGCACCAGAAAGAAGAUCUGUACAUUUCGAUUUGCUUUACUGAGAACCGAAAACCUACUACGAUGCGUCCUCAUUGCUUCCUCGCACUCCUUACUCUGCUUACUCUUCUUGCCGCGGUGCCCGCAACGAGGAAAGUGAGUGCCCCGUGGAAGGAAAUUAAAGACCUCAAGGAUCCAUAUGUGAUAAGCAUCGGAGAGUGGGGGGUCUCAGAAUACAACAAGAAUGUCACAGGCACAAACAAGUUAGUGUUUCAAAGUGUGACUUGGGGGGUAAGCGCAUUUAUUUCAGGCACGUUUUAUGAACUGGUCAUUGCAGCAAAAAAUCAGUCGUUAACUAUCCCGCUAGAAGAGUAUAAACUCGGUGUAUGGGACCGGUUUCUAACCAGGCUGUUCAUGCGCUUAAUAAAAGAUGAUGGCAAAUUUGUUUAGUAUUUCAAAGUUAGGGUUUAGUGUCUGUUAAUUUCAAUAACUCUCGCCUUUGGUUUAUAAUAAAGAGACUGUUCCGAAUGCAGAAUAAAAGUUCGCCCAUAUUUUGUUGUGCUUUAUAUUUUAUUUGUGCAUACAUAAAGACAUCUUUACUACAAAAACAAUUCAUAUGUGUUCUUCAUGCCUUGCACGUGCAAAAGUCCUCUUUUACAUCAUGCACGUUAUGCUCGACAUACAGAGUUUUAUUAAUCAUCGGCGCUACGUGCCCCUAAAAUCUUUUAAAUUAAUAUACGAAGUUUAUUUGUAAUCUUGCUUGAAGUCCCUCUAUCUUUUACUUUUGAUUAUAUUUCUCUAUUGAUUUCUUCUUUUAUUUUCUACUGGUAGCAUUUUUUUCUCAUUGUUUUCCUCUCACAUUAUAUUCUACACGUAAAAGCAUAAUUAAAAUCAUUAAAACAAUGGUAGAACGCCAGUCAUAGGUCUCUUGUGCCUAUUAAAACUAACAAUGAUACAAACCAAAUCAAAUAGUGUGUUAAGAAAAGAAAAAACCACCCCAAUUGAAUACAUUGAACAACAAAAUUACAUGAAAAGCUAGCAUAUAAAAAAUAAUGAAAAAUAAUGAAAAUGGCUUCAAAACAUUGAAUUUUAACAACAACAAAAAAAAUCAUCUAAUAACUUUAUUUAAUGAUAAGAACAAGAGGAAAAAAAACACUUAUCAAACACGUGUGCAGUCUCUUUUGCUGUUGCAUCUUCUAGCUGCUUCUUUUUCCAGUACUCAUCAACUGGGGUCCAAAAAUUGCCUUGCCUGAAGCAACUCCAAUCAUGGCUGCUCCAAUAUCUAUUUUACAGCACACACCUCUAUAUAUUUGUACUAUAUAUAGACACACACACACACACCCUAUUACAUACUAUAGAUUAUGGACAUAUGAAGCACUUAAGAGUACCUUGUGCAACUUUAUUUACCAAGCCACUACCUUUUAUACCUAUAAUUUUGAUUUAAAUGAUGCACCAUUGAGAGGAAUGCAAUGUUCCCAAUAAUUUCCAUCCACGAAACUGUUGGUGUCGUGAGAUGCUUUGGAAAUUGUAUGGUAACCAAAAUUCAAGGUUUUUAAGUCCAUACAAAUAUUGAAAUGAUUGAAGACUUGAGAUGCUUCUGAAAUUGAAGGACAUGAAGUGGGGGUACGAUCUUGGCUCAUGUCUAUAGGUGUAUUCGAUUGUAUUGAUUUCAUUUGCAUUAUUUUUUUAAUUUGUAGAGAGAAGGUGAGAUUGCAGGUGGAGGAGAAGAGGAAGCCGCAGAUGGGAGCACAAUACAAGAAAAUUAAGUAAUUAAUGUAGAAAGUUAAGAAAUUGAAGAGAUACAGAGAAAAUUUGAUGAGUAUUGAAGAAAAUUAGAGAAGAAAAUGUGUUUGGAAGGUGAAAAUAUGCCAAGAAAAUUCAAGAAGAUGAGAGAGAAUAAUAUAGUAUCAUUAAAUUUCAUAAAUAGUGUAGUACUGUUAAAUUUCAUAAACAAUGUAGCACCGUUAAUUUUCAUAAACAGUGUAGUACUGUUAAGUUUCAUAAACAGUGUAGUAAGUUUCAUAAACAAUGUAGUAAAUUUCAUAAACAGUGUAGUAAGUUUCAUAAACAAUGUAGUAAAUUUCAUAAACAGUGUUGUAAGUUUCAUAAACAGUUUGAAGAAGCAGGGAUCCGCGCGUCAGUUUUUUUUUUAAUUAAUACUAAAAUUAUGUCUUUUUCAUGAAAAUUUAAGUUCUUUUGUCAUUUUUAUUAAAAUUUAAGAGUUUUUCAUUAAAAUUCUUUUCCAUUAAAUAAAGUUAUAGCAUAAUUUUUUUAUUAAAAUAAACUUAGCCCAAACUUUUUUCAUGAAGUUCUUUAAAAAAUAAAAUACAUCAACCAACAAACAAAUGCUCAUAUUGUUUGUAAUAAAAGUCAUCAAGAUGCUUUAGUGCAUUCUGUAUCCUGUAUUGCCGCUUCAGUCCUUGGUGAAUUAAUGGUCCCUCAUCAUCUUUUUCUCUGGAAUUUCACUCCGGAUUCCUUCCUCUUAAUCUACCAAAUUAGAGAAUCUGUACCAUUGAAAUUUGAUCCAACGACUGAAGUUAUUAUAACUUUUAAAGUGGGCCCUUCUUGGUAGUCAUUUGAUCAAAUUUUAACGGCACGGAUUCCCUGAUUUUGUGGAUUAGAAGUAAGGGAUCCGGUGUGACAUCCCACAUCGCCCAGGGGAGUGAUCCUUAAAUGUAUAUUCCCAUCCUUACCUAGCACGAGACCUUUUGGGAGCUCACUGGCUUCGAGUUUUGUAGAAACUCUGAAGUUAAGCGAGAAUGAGGCCAGAGCAUUCUCAGGAUGGGUGACCCACUAGGAAGUUACUCGUGAGUUUCCAAAAACAAAACUGUGAGGGAAUGCUAAGCCCAAAGUAGACAAUAUCGUGCUACGAUGGUCGAGCGGGCCCGGAAUGUGACAAAUGGUAUUAGAGCCAAUCCUUGGCCGGAAGUGUGCCAACGAGGACAUCGGGCCCCUAAGGGGGGUGGAUUGUGACAUCCCAUAUCGCCCAGGGGAGUGAUCCUUAAAUGUAUAUUCUCAUCCUUACCUAGCACGAGGCCUUUUGGGAGCUCACUGGCUUCGGGCUCCAUAGGAACUUUGAAGUUAAGCAAGAAGGAGGCCAGCGCACUCUCAGGAUGAGUGACCCACUGGGAAGUUGCUCGUGAGUUCACAAAAACAAAACCGUGAGGGAAUGGUAAGCCCAAAGUGGACAAUAUCGUGUUACGGUGGUAGAGCGGGCUCGGAAUGUGGUGGACUCGGGCCAGGAUGUGACAAUUGUAACAUCCCACAUCGCCCAGGAGAGUGAUCCUUAAAUGUAUAUUCCCAUCCCUACCUAGUACGAGGCCUUUUGGGAGCUCACUGGCUCCGGGUUCCAUCGGAACUCCGAAGUUAAGCGAGAAGGUGGCCAUAGCACUCCCAUGAUGGGUGACCCACUAGGAAGUUACUCGUGAGUUCCCAGGAACAAAACCGUGAGGACUGGCUCCGGGUUCCAUCGGAACUCCGAAGUUAAGCGAGAAGGUGGCCAUAGCACUCCCAUGAUGGGUGACCCACUAGGAAGUUACUCAUGAGUUCCCAGGAACAAAACCGUGAGGGCGUGGUCGGAGUCUAAAGCGAACAAUAUCGUGCUACAGUAGUGGAACGGACCCGGGAAAUGGUCCGUCCCGGGCCAGGAUGUGACAAAUGGUAUUAGAGCCAAUCCCUGGCCGGAAGUGUGCUGACUAUGACGUCGGGCCCCUAAGUGAGGUGGAUUGUAACAUCCCACAUCGCCCAGGGGAGUGAUCCUUAAAUGUAUAUUCUCAUCCCUACCUAGCACGAGACCUUUUGAGAGUUCACUCGCUUCAUGUUCCAUCGGAACUCCGAAGUUAAACGAGAAGGUGGCCAGAGCACUCCUAUGAUGGGUGACCCACUGGAAAGUUGCUCGUGAGUUCCCAAAAACAAAACCGUGAGGGCGUGGUCGGGGCCCAAAGCGGAAAAUAUCGUGCUACAAUGGUGGAACGGGCCCGGGAAGUGGUCCGCCCUGGACUGAGGAUCCAUUUCCCUUUUCUCUCGACUACUCUCCUCAUCAUCUUUGUUAUUGGGUUUUGUUUCAAGCAAUUGACGGUUACUUUUUUAUAGGAAGGUUAAUUUGUGAGCUUAAUUACUUCCAUAAUCAAACUACAAAUUAUUUUUAAAUAUAACUAGCCUCUCCGCACGAGCUCACGCAUAUGCAAGAGGCAUUUUUGCAUCACGGGCGCUACGCGCCCUAAAUAUAUGUUGCUUUAGAUAUUCUUAUAUUUUUUUUCUUUCAAUUAUCUCCUUACGAUAUUUUUUUCUCUACAAUUGUUUAACGUCAAAGCAUUGGCAGAACACGCAUUAGGUAAUAAUGAACUUGAUUUUAAUUAUGACAAAUUCAAACUGCAAUGGAUAAUUUUAGUCCUUAAACAGUAUACAAAGAUAUGUUUAUACUUAAAAGAAAAUAAUGAAAUAUGAGAUUCACUCUUUUCCUAGGAAUACAUUAAAGUAAUACAUAAAGUACAAACUAUAAAGCCUGUUUUUUCGUAAAAAGAUAAUAAAAUUUUUGGCUUUCUCCUCUCCACGGACCAAUGAAGUCCAACAUUGUUUUUUCUUUUUGAAAUUUAUUGAUCUGCAGUUGCAAACCCUAUAUGAAGAACUAAUUUUAUUAGAAGCAUGUUAUCGCAUUUCUUCAUAGAAAAACCAACACAAAGUAAAGAGAUCCCAAAAAAAAAAAUAUCAACUUAACCAAAAUGAAACGUGUCGUUAUAACCGCAACCAUCUAAUUCUUUAAUCAGAAAGCAUACAUCAGUACUCUCCAUCCCAAACCCAAGUAAAAAGCCAAUAGAAACCAAAAGCCUAAAAAUAUAAAAUAAUUAGAAGACAAAUAAGAAUGAAACAAACAGUAGCAAACCAUUGUAAAAUGUAAGCAGAUCAUACAUAAUACAUUAAUUAAAUUAAUCCAAAUUAUUAAUUAACUACACAUGACUAAUAAUUGAAGUGUACAAAACUAUUAUGUCACACACAAAACAUGGUAUACCAUGUAAUACACAAAGGAUAAUUGUACAGUAUCAUCCAACCCAGUAUCAAGAUUCAUAUUUUUUUACAUAAAUUUCCAACAAAUUUUCUAAGAACAUAAUUUUAUGGCACCGUUUUCACGGGUUUCAGUAAUCGAACAAUGGCCAUCGCGUAUAAUAUCACAAUGCACAUCAUUCAGUACAUCUGUCUAGCAGCCUAUUCAAAACUUACCAAAUAAUUCUGAAGGACGACGCUACAUAUGGAGAACUUAUGUGGGACCGUAUGUGACUGAACUAUGAGAGAUUGCUUUUUUUUUUCAUGUUUCUAAGAGUGGUCUGAUCCCUUAUUUGAUCAGACCGCUCCUAAUGUUCGAGCCUUGAUGUCAGCAAUCCCUCGGUGGACAAUUUGUAAAAACAAAAAAUGGGGCUAAGACCCUCCCCCUAAACUUUUUGUCAACAAAAAGAAAAAGGAACGUGGAUUGUUAUGGUGAAUAGGUCCUUCCCGUUUAGACCACUGUGAUCCGAAUUCAAAUCCUUCAUUCUCCGUAAUUUAGAUGAGGAGGAUUCGUAAACCAAAUACCAAAUACCAAAAACCAGUAAAGCCACACCGCAGAAAAUCCUUCAUUUAUACGUGUCAAUUUCUUUAUUUUAACACAGGAUAAUACAAGUAAAGCAUCCAAAUUGACAUACUCAACAAUUUUGAGAUCACUAAAUAUUAUUUUCUACGGCCUCUAUCUUAAAAAAGGCUAUCAAUUCCCGCGGCGCUCCAUCCCUGUCGUGUACUGAAGCUCUGUAAUUUCCGGUGGGAUUAGGCAAAGACUCGUCCUUAGCCGCAACAACAAGCAAAUAUAAGGUGCCUGAUACAAAUGUUAUCUCAGACGAAAUCAGUUUUUCAAAAACUAACUUGUUUGUGGCAUUGUUGUUGUACACAGAAACGGCCCACUCUCCGAUCUCUGUCGCGUUUAAAUCGAUGCUGUCUAUAGGUUUCCAGUUACCGGGAACGUUGUUUGUUGUAGUGGCGGGUACCGGAGAAACCAGUAGAGCAAAGAGUGCGAGGAAGAAGCAAUGAGGAUGCAUUUUGUAAACAAUGAGUUCUGUUCAAGUAGCACGGGGGACGAUUUGCAAGAAAAAUGAUUUGAAGGAUGUUGUCUUGCAGGAAAGAAGAAGGAGAAAAGAAGUGAUGGGGAACGAAACUAGAGAGGAAGAAAAGGGAAGAACUCUCCAGAGAGAGCAGUGGAGUGUCUGGCUGUGUACUUUGGAAAUAAAAAAGAAAAAGCUUGAUUUAGUAAUAAAAUAUUAUUGAAUUAAUAAUAAAAUAUUAUUAGAUGUGUAUUAUAUAAUAUAAUAUUAUAGUUAUGAAUUAUCCUGUUUUUUAGUUCGACGCUGCACCAAACGCUUCACUAAGCUAGUCCAACUUAGUCUAGUCUAAGUCAGUCCAACUUAGUCCCUAAAGUUAGUCCAGUCCGAGACAGUCCGGUGCAACAAACGCACCCUUAAGGUUUUAGUUAGCCCUAGUUUGGGCUACGCUUUCUUUUAUACAACUUUGGAGACAGAGAAUAAUUGAUAGGGCUCUUGGAGAUUUUAUACUUUAAGGUGUUUUCAUUCAUUUUCUUCUUAAUAAUAUUUUCUUUAAUUUUUAUUAAGAGCAUGCGUAACUAAUUCCUUUGCUAGGGCAAGGCCAUAAGCCUUAGCAUGAAUAUCUAAUUUUAUUAACUUGCUUAUGAAUGAAUGUAUGCUUGCUUUGAAUUAUUAAUCACUGCGAUUAAAACUUUCUAUAUAUUUUAAUGAUUGAUCACCAUUAGGAUACUUAGACAAGUAAUUUGAUGCAAUUUAUGUUGGAACAUCACCCUAAAAUUGAGGAGGGCUUCUUGUGAUUAGUAAUUGUAAGUUCACGGCGAACAUCACGCUCUUAAGGGUUGCAUGGUUUUUCAGAGGGUUUUCACAAAGCUUAAUGAGUCUUGCAUGUUUAUAUUUGAUCCGAACAUUACUGACGAAUUGCAUGUUAGAUAUUUGUUUUCGCUUGAACAUCACAAGGAAAAUAUGCAUUAGGAAAACCUAACCUUCAAAGCAUGUAUGUGGAAUUUCAUAAGUAAUUGAUAGAAUUGCAUAGGAUUGUGACUGUGAUGGCUAAACCCUAUAUUUCUCUAAAUUGAUAAUUUUAAAAUAUUUUUCUUCUUUGCUACCAUUAUUUACAACUUUCAGAUUUCUUUUAUUGUUAAUUUAAUCUAUUUAAAUUCAUAAAUCUCAAAUCUUUGAUAAAAUAUGUUUUAAUAUUCAAUUAUGAGUUAGUUUAAACACAAAUUAUUCAAACAAUCUUUGGGGACAACAACCUUGCAUGAGCAUUUAUAUUACAAUUACUUUGUAUUCUUGCAAGUAUUUUCAAUGAUUUUAACCCUAUUUGCGCAGGUACUAAAAAUCCUAUCAUAUACUGUCCUUUUUUUUUUUGAGCAAACAAUAGUAUCUACACAAAGGAGAAGUGGGGGAAUGGGCUAAACAUUACAAUAGACUUGCCAUAAUAAUGUGGUUCAACUUUGCCUUUGGCAAUAAUUGAAUCUAAAACUUCUCACUUACAAAUGAAGAGGAAUACCACUAGACCGUAGUACUAAGUGAAACAAGCGACUUAAAUUGGCUUUAAUCUUCUGUACCCACUUUUCCAUACUUAAUAUUUGUGUCUGAAUAGAAUUAUUGUGAAAAAAAAAGACUAGAUUCAAUGCAAACCGUUACGCGAUGCUCCAAAAUUUAAUUCAAUGCAGACCGUUACGCGAUGCUCUAUUUAUUUAGAAAGUAUAUAUUUUAAUAAAACCAAAAUCCACCCUUUCCAAUUUUUAAAAGAUACAUGGAAUCGGGCAGCAUUCGAUGUAUAGCUUUGCUAUAUAAAACCAUAAGCACCAGAAAGAAGAUCUGUACAUUUCGAUUUGCUUUACUGAGAACCGAAAACCUACUACGAUGCGUCCUCAUUGCUUCCUUGCACUCCUUACUCUGCUUACUCUUCUUGCCGCGGUGCCCGCAACGAAGAAAAUGGGUCCCCCAUGGAAGGAAAUUAAAGACCUCAAGGAUCCAUAUGUGAUAAGCAUCGCAGAGUGGGGGGUCUCAGAAUACAACAAGAAUGUCACAGGCACAAACAAGUUAGUGUUUCAAAGUGUGACUUGGGGGGUAAGUGCGUUUAUCUCAGGCACGUUUUAUGGGCUGGUCAUUGCGGCAAAAAAUGAGUCGUUAACUAUCCCACCAGUAGAGUAUAAACUCAGUGUAUGGGACCGAUUUCUAACCAGGCUAUUCAUGGGCUUAGCAAAAGGCCAUUAUGUCUAGUAUUUCAAAUUUAAGGUAUAGUGUCUGUUAAUUUCAAUAACUCUCUUCUUUGGUUUAUAAUAGAGAGACUAUUCCGAAUGCAGAAUAAAAGUUCGCCCAUAUUUUUUUGUGCUUUAUAUUUUAUAGCAUAUGUAAGGACAUCUUUACUACAAAAACAAUUCAUGCGUGUUCUUCAUGCCUUGCGCAUUCUCUUUUACAUCACGCACGUUAUGCGCGACAUACAGAGUUUUAUUAAACAUAGGCGCUAUGUGGCCCUAAAAUCUUUUAAUUAAUAUACGAUGUUUGUUUGUAAUCUUGCUCGAAGUCCCUCUAUCUUUUACUUUAGAUUAUAUUUCUCUACUGAUUUCUUCCUUUGUUAGCCUUUUAUCUAUCAUGGGCGCUGCGCGGCCCUAGAAUCUAUAUGAGUUUAUUUGUAAUCUUGCUCCAACUCCCUCUAUCUAUUUUUUACUUUCGAUUAAUCUAUAAUGUAUAAUUUCUCUAUUAAUUUCUUCUUUUAUUUUCUAUUGGUAGCAUUUUUUUCUCAUUGUUUUCCUCUCACAUUAUAUUCUACAUGUAAAAACAUAAUUAAAAUCAUUAAAACAAUGGUAGAACGCUAGUCAUAGGCCUCUUGUACCUAUUAAAACUAACAAUGAUGCAAAGCAAAUCAAAUAGUGUGUAAAGAAAAGAAAAAACCACCCAAUACAAUGAACAACAAAAUUACAUGAAAAGCUAGCAUAUAAAAAAUAAAGAAAACUAAUAAAAAGGGCUUCAAAACUUUGAAUUUUAACAAAAAAAAAACAUCUAAUAACUUUAUUUAAUGAUAAGGACAAGAGGAAAGAAACAGUUAUCAAAUGCGCGUGCAGUCUCCUUUGCCACUACAUCUUCCGGCUACUUCUUUUUCCAGUACUCAUCAACUGGGAUCCAAAAAUUGCCUUGCCCGAAGCAACUCCACUCAUGGUUGCUCCAAUAUCUAUUUUACAGCGCACACACACACACACACACUAUAGAUAUAUAUAUACACACACACACCAUACUACAUACUAUAUAUUUAUAUAUAUACAUACACACCAUACUACAUGUCACGCCUCAAUCCCAACAUACGUCGAGAAUCGACACGUGACAAGGAAAUAACGUCCGUUGAAUACGGUAUAAGUUAAGGAAUAAAAUACUUUAACUAAUAAACCAAAAUAAUAUGAAGGUGGCUAAGUUCUCCACUAAAUAUUUACAAAUAUGUACCUCCCAAAAAGAAGCAUAAUCUUUGCUUUACUAAGAACAAGAUUGAGAUGGUCAAAAGAAAGUCCCAAAGAUAAAGUACAAGAUAGGAUAGAGGGGUAACCUAGCACUCCAAAUCUCUAAUAACUGUACCGCUACCCCACCUACGAACCUCUCGAAGCUAUACUCAGACUUGUUACCUGUAAGAUCAGUGCCUACACUAUCGAAAUGGUGCACCGGGCAAACAACAACCCGGAUAAGCUACGAAGCUUGUGUGAGCGAUAAAUAAUACAAGUAUAUGAUACUAAUAAUAAAACCAACCAUCAUUCAAAAUUAUAAACCUUGAAUAUAAAUCAGUUAUAAGAAAUCUCUACCAAACCUUGCAACCUCCGAAGGGGUCACACAUACGUCCAACGAGUUUUCUAAAUCAAAACUCAAAGUUCUCAAAGCCACAUUCAUAGAUAUAUUCAAAACUAGAUUUAGAGAGACGUCGUUCGGCCAAAGCCUACGCAAAUAACCAAAUAGGAAGUGACCCCCCAAAACGGAUCAACCAAGCAAAGCCACCCCUAAGAAAGUAACCAAAUAGGUAGUGACCCCCCAAUGCGGAUUAACCAAGCAGAGUCACUCCUAUAACUAUUGAAAGGUGAUCACCCAAUGUGGAUUAACCAAGCAUGAUCACCUUUAAAUGUGUAUGGCCAUACCUAGGCUAUAAGGAUCGCCCAACGCGGAUUAACCAAGCGCGAUCCACAAAUAGUAUGGUCCCCUAACGCGGAUAAACCAAGCAGGACCAUCCAGGACCAUUGCUACGUGGUGCAAACUUAGUGUCACCUAACCCCAUGACACUAGGGUAAUGGUUCUUCACAAUCCAUCAUUUUUAUCAUCCAUCACAUAUAUAUCCCAAAACACAAUCCAUCACUUUUAUCAACCAUCACAUAUAUAUCUCAAAACACAAUCCAUCACUUUUAUCAACCAUCACAUAUAUAUCCCAAAACACAAUCCAUCAUUUUUAUCAACCAUCACAUAUAUAUCUCAAAACACAAUCCAUCACAGUUCAAAUAUCCAAGUCACCUAAUGUUUCAUAAGUAGAUCGACGACAACUUACUAGCAACAAUUAUUUAGCAUCAGAACUAUUUUAAGAAUCCAUAGCGUAAUCACAAAGUUUAUUAGCACAAAAGAUUUCAAAGCAAUAACCAUAACACAUAGAUUAGAAUCACUCACCUGAGAUCCACACUAACGCACUCAAACACGAGAGUCAAGGCAUCAUGUUCUAUCACCGCCUAACAAGGUACAAACCACAUUUAGAUUUCCUUAGAUAAUUCACAUACUUAAAACUCUUAUAUAUUUCCCACAACAACAUUUAAUGAGGAAUCGAACCGUCAUUCUAAUGUAGAGUCCAUGAUCUUACGUCAUUUCCUUCGUAAAAUCUAAUCACUAGAUUUUCACUUAUAAGUCCCUAGAGUCCUUAAACAAUAUCUACAAUAGCAUAUUAAAAUCUUAUCUCAAUUCAAUGAUAAGAUUGUCAAUUAAUAGAAUAAUCAAGUGGCAGACCUUACCGAUAAAAUAUACAAUCAACAGCAUUUUCAUGAAUCGAAUGUCACGUAUCGGAAAAUUCGAUUUUUCCCAAAAAUUCUCAAAUUUUACUAGAAUGAAGAUUUCAACAAGUAGAGUAAACUUUAUACCUGUAGUCGAGUCCAAUUUGGCCAGGAAUGCCCCUCAAAUUGGCUCUCACCCAACGAAACCCUAAGGUGAGUGUUCUUCAAUUUGGCUUCCUUGGUGUUCCAACGCCCCUACAACUGAUUGCGUCUUGCUCCUGGGUCCAAGGGGAGUUGAUUAAGGGUGGUGGUGGGUGGUGAGGCUAGCCAGAAUGGCGGAAUCGCCGGCAAAACUCCUUGGGUCACCCGCACGGUUUUACACUAUUUUGGACCUAAAAACCCUCAAACUUGGGUGGAGAUGGAAGAUGGGAGAUGGUGGAAGAGGUUGCAGGUGAUGGAUGGUUGAAUUUCUCCUGAAAAAAAUGGUGGAAAUGGUUGGAACCCACUCCAGUGGGCGUGUGCAAAUGGGUUGACGGAAAUGGAGGGGUAAAAUCCUCUUUUUCCUCUUUUUGGUCAUUCCUUCCUAUGGUUCUUUCUCCUUCUUAAAAAAAAAAAAAAUCUGAUGUGUCCCCUAUUAAGGCUCCUGACUAAUCUUUUUCCAUCACCUAAAAUGUCCAAUUCCACUUACAGUAACCGGUCCAUUAAUCCAAAAAAAAAAGUUUGGGCCUUUUCCCCAUAAGUGGAAAUUAGAAUAAUUCCCACAAUCUAUAUUUUCACUACUUCAAACGUCCGUAACUAUACCGUUAUAAUUCGGACUCGCAAACGGCUUUCGCCUAUACGUUCGUGGUUUCAAGAUUUAUUUAAAAACACUAGUUGUAACUUCGAAAUGUCAACGAAAGAUAAAGAUUGAUUAUGAAACUUCCAACUCGAUAACUAAUCAAUUGCUAAACUUAUAAUUAGUAAAGAUAACGUAAUCGCAAAAUACGAAUUUAAAUUACUAAAUACGUAAUAAAUGGUGAAAUUCCGAGGAUGAGAUUUCACACUACAAACUAUAUAUUAUGGACAUAUGAAGCAUUGAAGACUACCUUUUAUACCUAUAAUUUUGAUUUACAUGAUGCACCAUUGAGAUGAAUGCGAUGUUCCCAACAAUUUUCAUCCAUGAAACCGCCAGCGCUGUGAGAUGCUUCGGAAAUUGUAUGGUAACCAAAAUUCAAGGUUUUUAAGUCCACACAAAUAUUGAAAUGAUUGAAGACUUGAGAUGCUUCUAAAAUUGAAGAACAUGAAGUGGGGGCACGAUAUGGGCUCAUGUCCAUGGGUGUAUUUGAUUGUAUUGAUUUCAUUUGCAAGGGGAGAAGGUGAGAUUGUAGGUGGAGGAGAAGAGGAAGCCACAGAUGGGUGGACAAUAGAAGAAAAUUAAGUAAUUAAUGUAGAAAGUUAAGAAAUUGAAGAGAUACAGAGAAAAUUUGAUAAGUAUCGAAGAAAAUGUGUUUGGAAGAUGAGAAUGUGCCAAGAAAAUUCAAGAAGAGGAGAAAGAAGAAUGUAGUACCAUUAAGUUUCAUAAAUAGUGUAAUACCGUUAAGUUUCAUAAACAAUGUAGAAAGUUUCAUAAACAGUUUGUUUGAGGAUGCGUGGAUCCGCACGUCAAAUAUCUUUUUUUUUUUUAAAUUAAUACGAAAAUUAUGUUUUUUUCAUUAAAAUUUAAGUUCUUUUGUCAUUUUUAUUAAAAUUUAAGUCUUUUUCAUUAAAUAAAAUUAUAGCAUAAUUUUUUUAUUAAUAAAUUGAACUCAAGCCCUUUUCAUAAAAGUUCUUUAAAAAUUAAAAUACAUCAACCAACGAACAAAGACUCACAUUGUUUGUAAUAAAAGUCAUCAAGAUGCUUUAGUGCAUUCCGUAUCCUGUUUUGCCGCUUCAGUCCUUGGUGAAUUAAUGGUCCCUCAUCAUCUUUUUCUCUCGACUGCUCUCCUCAUCAUCUUUGUUGUUGGGUUUUGUUUCAAGCAACUGACGGUUAAUUUUUUAUAGGAAGGUUAAUUUGUGAGCUUAAUUACUUCCAUAAUCAAACUACAUAUUCUUUUCAAAUAUAAUUACAUACGUAAGGGAUCAUUACACUAGCACCUCGUAAGGUUUAUCGAAUUUUCACAAAACUCUCUCACAUUGAAAACAUUACACUAACACCCCCUUACGUUUUAAUUCACUUUCAAAUAACCCCUUCAGUCGGAGUUCUACUAAUAAAUUGACAACUUUACCCUUAUAAUUAAUUAAUUAAAUAGAAAUAUAUUUUAAAAAAACAUUUAAUAUAAAUUAAACAUUGAAAAAAUUAAUUAAACAUUAAAAGAGUAAAUUAAAAGGAAAACUAACUAAAAGUAAACAAAAAUACAUUUAGUUUUAAUAUAAAAAAAGACAAAUAAAUGUGUAAUGACUAGUACCAGGCAAAAGUAAAAAUAAAUAGUAAUGGAAAUGUUUUGUUAAAACUCCUUAAAUUAAAAACUUAAAAAUAGAAAAGGAAAAAAAAGAGUAAACCUAAACCCCUUCCCCAAUUCCACUCCCCGCCGUUUUCCUUUCUCGUCGUCCCACCAUUGCCACCUUCAUCCUUUUCCUCUCCCCGGCCCCACCCUCACUACUCACUACCCUGCCACUGGUUUAACAAUGUUGCAGGCCAAAGCCAUCCAUGGCUUCUUCAAUCUCUCUCUCUCUCUCUCUCCUUCUCUUCCUCUCUCAUCCCGCAUCUUCUUCCUCUCAACAAAAACUCCACUGGAAGAGAGGCGAGUUCCCUGGCGUCUCGGAUACAUCAACUCCGGCGACUAACAGAAAAACCUGCAAUCCUUCCGCUUCAUCUCCGUUCGUUCCGGUUUGAAAAAUGUGAAGAAUAAGGUGGAUCGGAAGAACAAUGCCAAGGCCUAGGUCAACACUGUCACCGAGGCCCUGUCCGACGUUAUUGAGAAGAAGCAGUAUCUCUAUGCUCUUGAGGUUUUUGCCCUUAAUCUAAAGAAAAAUUAAGAAAAUUUUCAUCCUUGUCUCUGAACAAUCUGACUGAUGAGGCAUUUUCAGUUCUUAACCUGAUGAAGACCCUCCCGCAAUGCCAGCCUGAUGUUUUUACUAACAGUAACUUGAUAGAGGUUUGCAUUUGAUUUAUUUCAUUUUAAUUUAUUUUUAAUGUUUAAUUUAUUUUUUUUAAUAUUUUCUUUUUCUAAUAUAUUUCUUUACUAUUUAAUUAAUUAGUGACAAGGGUAACGUUGUCCAUUUAUUAGCAGAAUUUUGACUGAAGGGGUUAUGUGAAAAUGAAUUAAAACAUGAGUGUAAUGUCUCAAAUGUGAGGGGGUUUUGUGAAAACUCAAUAAACCUCAUGAGAUGUUAGUGUAAUUAACCCUAAUAAUAAUGUGACGAAUAUAUGUAAUGGUUUACCUACAAAAUAAAAAAAUAUUACUUUAUUUCAAAUACAUGUAACUAUAUAAUUAUAAGCAGCUAAAACAACGUCAAGAGGAGUAAUUAGAAUUUAGGGAACUUUAACGAAAAGCUUCCGGUACUGAUCAUUUUAACGAAAAACCAUAUUUUUACACUAAAAAAGCAAUCAUGGUAUCAUUCACUUUACCUUUUAUUUUGUCCUUAUCGUUAAAACUCAAAGUUUUCAAGUCAUUUUCAUUAGUUUUCCUUAUAAUUUAAUGCCCAUUGUAGGCAUCGAAAUUUCGUAAAUAAAUGUUGACCGAUAAAUCAAAGUGUCAACGCUCAUGUAUUACAUAAAUUUUACACGUAGCGUAUGACUCAACGAAAAUUGAAAUGAGUUGGAAAAGUCAUCAAAUAGGACACGUGUCAACACUUGGCAGAAACGACUUAUUUCAUCUGGGAUAUUAUAUUCAAAAUUAGGCAUUGGAAAAUUCUAUAAAUACAAGCCCAUUUCAUUCAUUUAAAGGAACCAAUUCAUAUUACACCUUGAAGCUCUGAAGCUCUGAAACUCCGAAGCUCUCAAGCAUCCAGGUUCCCGAAGAAUCAAGAAAGCGUUCUUCGUUCUUCGUUCAUCGUUCUUCCAAGAUCAAGCCCCAACGGCCCUUUGGAUCAACAAUCAUCCACCAAUUCAAGAUCAAGCCCCGACGGCCCUUGAAGAAAGUGUUCUUCGUUCUUCGUUCAUUGUUCUUCCAAGAUCAAGCCCCAACAGCCCUUUGGAUCAACAAACGUAGACAAAUCCACACAUCCAAUCGUUCUUCAAGAUUAAGCCCAAAAGCCCUUGAAGAUCCGUUCAUCACUGUUCUUCAAGAUCAAGCCCAAAAGCCCUUGAAGAUCCGCUCAUCACCAUUAUUCAAGAUCAAGCCUCAAACGGCCCUUGAAGAAACAUUCAUCCUCAAGAUCAAGCCCCAGCGGCUCCUUGAAGAUCCGCUCAAAUCCAACUUCAAAGAUCAAGCCCACGGCCCCCUUGAAGAAACUUCCAACAGUUCAUCCAAGAUCAAGCCUCGACGGCCCUUGGAUCAACGAAAUAUCCACAAAUCAAUACCUUAUGGAGAUCGAAUUAGAGGAUCAAAUUUAAGAGAGAUUGUAACCCAAAAUCAUCAAACGCAAAUAUUUGUUUGUGCACGUUGUUCUUGUCUCUUUCGUUUCAGGAAUUUUCCGUGUUUACACCCAUAUUCUGCGGGCACGAUGAAGCCAAAAUUGGAGGGUUGUGUGUGAGAAAACGUUAGAAGGGUUGUGGCAUAUGUUGUAAAUUAUCUGAAGUAAUAGGUCACUUAAUUUCUAAUGUGGCUACAUAUUUGAAUUUUGGGUUUAUAUUGGAUGUUUAAAGAUAGGUGGGUUUUUCUAAAAAUUACGAGUUGUAUGGGUCUAUAUGGAAAGAACCCUUAAAUAAUUUAAAUUAGGGUAGGUUAGAAUUGAAAGGGAGGGAGAAGGAUAGGAGGUGGAGGUGGACCAGCGGGAGCAGAGGUCUGCUUAGGAUUUAGUUGCAGCCAAAUAUGAGAGCGGAGAUUUGCCAAACAUUAAAUUUGAUUCAAAGUGGGGGAGUUUAAAACUGAUGGCAACUGCAGAUAGUUUUUUCUACCCCUCUUCUCCCACGUUGGUUUUUUAUUUUGAGUUUGAUCGGCACGUUCCCUUUUUUAUAUGUUUUUUAUCUUUUAUUUUUCAAUAAACAAUUUUAAUUAUUUUCUAACAAAAUUGCCCCUGCGUUUUUUUAUGCAUCAAAUUCGAUCAGUUUUACAUUUUUUUGUUUGAGGGGUGUUUUAGUCUUGAUAUUGAUAAAGCCUUGAGACACCAAAGUAGUUUUAUGGGUUUCUAAUAUUAUAGAUUAGAGAUUAGAGAUUCAAGAUUAGAAAUUAGAGAUGAUUUUCCCACCAUUUAUCAAUAUGGCCAUAUUAAUCUCUUAUCUUAAUGUUGGCAUAUAUAUUUACAUUAAGGUUUGUUUACACUCACCCUAUAAAAUCUUACACAACUUUGAAAAAAAAAGGUAUAAAGUUUGAUAAUUGGGUUUAGAGAUAAAAUUAUGGGUUUGGAUAAAAUAUUUUCUUUUAUUCUUAUUACUAAGUUAAGAUUUCUCGUUCAUCCAGGAUAAAAAUUUAAUUAACACAUUUCUGCGGUGAACGAAAAUUUAGAUUCCGGAACAUCAAUUAGAAACCUAUUAUUGUACUGUUGGAAUGCUCCCAAAAUGUUUGGUUCUCCCGAUGAUAUCGCCGCCAUCAUCAUGCAGAACUCCUGCAAGUCCUCAUCAGCUCUAAAAGUAGUGGCCUCGUUGAGCUUGAGGUCGGCUCUAUCCAGGUGGAAGAUAACUUCUGGAGCAACAAACUUUAACCCUCUGCGCUUCUUUGUCCUCAGCACGUCUACCAUGCUGUAGCAGAGCUCCAAACCAGACCGCGUUUUGUUUAGCGGUUUCAUUGAGUAGUUCUCAGUAAAAUAAGAUUUCAUUGCUUGGUGUAUCAGUGUGUACACCUUGGAAGCAAAGAGAGAAUAUUCUGUGCCAGUAUCGACGACCACCCCGCUAUUGCCCCACGCCUUAAACAUUCUGGGGUCCGUUGGGAGACGGGAUCCAUUUAAACUAAUCCCCGUCAUGUUUAUGUAGUAGAAGCCAGAGGAGGAUUCCAGAAGUGGAGUGGUUUGAAUGUCCGUGCCCGUAAGUUGUGCGUCUUCACCGAAGCGUAAUGAGGACACGGCUCCGACCCUGUACGGGAUGCAGUAAGAGAAUCUUUUAAGGGUUAUCGAACUCAGUUGGAGCAAGAAACUGGAGGGAUGGUCUAUCCCUAGUCCUAAUAUUCCGGAUAUCUUGUUGGGGUGACCCGCGUCGCCAGGAAGAUUAAUGCGGUUGAUUGCACCGCAUCCAAAAGCAACGCCCUGAAUUUGAGUUGGUUGAUCAGCAGCACUUGAAGUAGUGACGGUCGUCAACGUGUCCAGACCGAAGGUGCCGAUUGUAACCUGGUUAUCGGCAUACUCAAGCUCGUACGAGCAGAAGUUCCCGGACGGAUGGAGCCAGAUAGGGACACAGAUCGGGUGGUCGAAAGGCAUGAAUUGGAAAGUCAUGGACCUGUUGGGAUCAAACUGGACGGAGGAUACCGGAAAACAGUCCGUGCAGUGGGCAGACUGGACCCACAUAGGACUGCUCGCAGUGUCGACCAACAAGUUCAAUUUGACCGGUGGGGUUCCGACUAGGAGCUCGACGUAAAAUACACCGAAAAAUGACUUUCUGGCACUCAAAGGGCGGCUGCUAGUGCUAGCUAAUGCAGACAUUUGGGUGGUAGUAUUCGGACGAAAAGGGAGUUUUUUCAGGGUUAGGGUUAUGCCUUUACCUUGGACUUGGGGGGGGGCAAAAACAAAUAUCAAGAGGAUCAGAAACAGAAUUUUGAUGGCCAUGGUUAUGUUACAAACUUCAAUUGGCAGAUUGUACUGAUUAAUUAAGUGUUAGUAUUGCAGGUAUUUAUAGCAGUUAAAAGUUACUGUGUUGUAAUUAGUUUAGCAUUUAGUUAAUUUGAUUUGGUCUUUUCACUACUUUUUAAUUGGCAAAAAAAGUUUUAUUAAUAAGUAAUUUUGAUUAGUAACGAUUGAUAUAUGCGUACGUCUUUUGUGUACACGCAAUAAAAUUACUAUAUAUAAUAUAUGUCAUUGGUUUGAUAUUCUAAGCAAGGAUUAUCCAAAAUAGCUUGUUCACAUGAAUGGUUCUACCCCUAUCGAUCAAUCCUCUAUUUUUCCGUUUAAAUUAAAGCGUUAAAGGUUUUGGAGUUUAUGCAUUCAUAGCUUGCUAGUUAUGACCGAUAAUAUAAAGAUUCAUGGAUCUUUGGAUAUUUUUUGUGGGACACAUCGAUAUUACUAUGAAAGAACAUUAUUUGAUGUGUAUUUAACAAUCCACUAUUAUCUAUGCAGGAUAAGUUGAAUUUUUUAUGUGUCUUUCUGGCCAUCAAAAUGGUAGAUUAUCAUGAAUUUGCCACCAACUUUGCCGUGUAUUUGACAAUCCACUAUCAUCGUUAUAUUACUUUCUUAUCCAUAAAAUUGCCAUUAGUGUAUGUGAAAACAUUUCAGACGCAUGCAGUACUCAUUUUUUUAAGCUAUUGCCUUCUGCAUAAUUAUCUUUCUUUUUGGAAUAUUUACAAGUGUAGCAGUCAGUCCAUGUGUGUGUGAUGUGUCAAUUACUUGCUAGGCAUGCUAAUUUGUAUGUAAGAGACUUAUAAUUAACAUGUUACAAGAUGUCAUUAGCAAGAAAGAAAAAAAGAAAUAUAUAUUCUAUAUAUGUAUGAGAGAAAAAUAAUCAUGCAACUUGGGAUGUAUUUGUUGUGUCACACAUUGAAAUUACAACGUAAAUUAAGAAAAUUAAUGAUUUUUUUUUCUUUUUUUGAUAGAAACAAUAUGAUUUUCAUUUAGAGAGCUCAGGAACCUGAGUUUAAAAAGUUACACGUCCAAGCAGAGGACUAUCCCCAGAUUCAAAAUUACAAACAAUCCUCAAAGAGGAGGUCAAUAAUAAAAGAGGAGGGCAGUCGAUCCACUCGCAAUGGUCCCUAGUACUCAGGCUGAAACGAGCGAGACGAUGGGCAACUCCGUUGGCUUGGCGGCGGACAUGGAUACAUACUUCUUCAAUGACUGUGGGGAGUCAUACCUUGGCAUCUUCCACAAAAUGCCCAAUACUCAACAAAUUGAUGGAAGGGUCCGAGAGGACACCAACAAGCUGAAGAGAAUCACUUUCAAUAAUCAAAUUACUAAAACCCCUAAACAUCGUCCAAACCACACCGUCCCUAUCUAAUCUUUUUAAAUGUUCUACGUCCAUAAGUUAUAUUAAUUUUGUCAUUACUUAAUUAUAUUAUAUAUAGGGUGCAUGUACAUAUAUAGGGCGUUACUUUUUUUAGUCCAUAGUUUUGCCAUUGUUGCACGUGAACAACCAAAAUGAAAAAUCAUAUGCAGUACUCAUUCCUUUCUUUUAGCUAUUCCCUUUUGUUACGAUUCUCUUUCUUUUUGGAGUAUUUACAUGUGUAUAUGUGUUAAUUAGUUUGUAGGCAUAUGCUAAUUUAUUGUAAAAGAAGAGAGAGCCUAAUUUCUAUGCUAAAUUAGUUAAUUAAUUAAAGCUGGCAUUACUUAAUCUAGUAGUAUAUACUUACAUCAGAUUAAACAAUUAAGGUAUUGCUUAAUCCCAUAAUAUUUCCACCAUUGCAUUCCAUGUGAAAACAACUCAUUAAAUUAAGAUGCACUAUUCUCAUUAAGUUUCAUUGCUUAAUCCCAUAAUAUUUCCACUAUUCCAUGUGAAAACAACCCGUUUAAUUUAAGAUUCAAUAUUAUUCUCAUUAAGUUUCACACGAUAGUGGUUAGGAUAAAGUUGAAAUGCUUCUGUGAGUUUUUUCGGUCCCAAAAAAUGUGGAUUGCCCUGACAAGAUCACUAGUUGGUCAUUAAAAAAAAGAACAAUAUUUCGUUGCUUGAUCCCAUAAUAUUUCCAUCAUUGCAUUGCAUGUGAAAACAACCCACUAAUUUAAGAGGCAAUAUUCUCAUUAAGUUUCUAAUUCAAUCAAGUUUUGCCAGGUGAUUUGCACUUGCAAAUGGGAUCCAAGUAAUGAACUCGAUCAUAUGAUGAUUGAAUUCAUUUCUUUCACUAGCAUAUGUACAUUAAUAUUAUAGAUAUUCUUCUCGAUUGCUAGCUACAACUACAAGGUCUUGAAUCAAAUGCUAUCAUGUACGUGCAUGUACCGAUGUACGUAGUAGUAACUUUCAUCGACCCAUACAUUCAUGCAUGCUUUAUAGCCUUUCACGUAGAUACAUGGCUGGAAUUUCCACUGGCCACCAUGUGAACGUUGACCCAAGUAAGCCAUCAAGUAAUGCAUAGGCGCGUGCACACACAUAUAUAGACUCUCUAAGGAGAGGGAUCCGAUUUUAACGAAAAAAAUGGGGAUGAUGCGCUUAGCCAUUGGGUCUCUUUUAAAGAGAUCGUGCGGCCGGAAUUUAACAUGCUUUUUUCCUUCUUUUUUUUCAACGGGAUAAAGAAUGACCUGGAUGAGAAAUUUUUCAUUGUGACUGGAAUAUGAGUGGUGUGUUUCUACAUAAGUGGUGGAAAAUUGUAUUUUUUAAGUUAUCAACUUUUUAGCACAUAUAUUCCAUCAUAGGUAUAAUGACACGUGAAUUUGAAAGACAAGGAUUUCGGAUUCAUCUUGUUCGUGGUUGGGAUUCGAUUGACUGCGCAAGUGAACUCUCUAGCAGGUCGAGGCCAGGCCAGAUGGAACCGAUCGAUCGAGAGAAAAUAUAUCUUGGACCUAGUCGAUCUCCGAGUUCCUCAUGGUUGUUUUCAUAUGCAAUGAAGAUAUUUUUCACCAAACCCUAAUUUUCCAUUUUCUAUCACGAGAUCAGUGAAACUGAGUUUGUUUUUCUCUUAACAUUCAUGAAUUAUUAGAGCUUCCAUAUUAUGUACAUGCAUGCAUUGCAUGGGUACCAAAGCUGCUUUCAUUCAAUUAAUGGUGAUAGACUACUUAGGGUUGGUUUGGUAUUGCUGUGCUUUGAAAAAAAGCUGAUGUGAGAAUAAGCGGCUGUGCUGUGAGAAUAAGCGGCUGUGAAAUAAAUCAGCAGAGCGUUUGGUAAACUUUUUUGUAAAAGUGCUUUUGGAAAAAAAAACAAUCUGAUAGUGAGUCUUUUCAUUAAAGGAGCACUAUAGCUCCGUGUGCUUUGAAAAAAAGCCAAUUUUCCAAAGCUGCAAAUAGCAGCUUCAGCUUUUUCCUUUGAUUUUAGCUUAUUCUCACAGCAGCUUCCAAAAUAAGCCAUUUUUUUUCAGUUUACCAAACACCUAAAACCCUCAUAGUUUUUUUUCACAGGUGCUUUUUUUUUAAGCACCUCACUCCCAAACUAGGUCUUAGUACUUUAUUAAAAGCUAAUAAAAUAUAAUUAAAAAGACAUAAAAGGUGAAUUACAAUUUACACUCUCAAGUUUAGGUGCGAGUGUAACCUUAUACAAAAUUUUAAAAUAUUUCAAUCUUAUAUAUUUACUUAUCAUUUUUAGAAAUUUCAUACAACCGUUAAUCAAAUUGUCAAUUUGACCAUGAAGUAAUGACAUGGCAAAUCUGACGUCAACAUUUUUGUUGAAAUGGAUGCUAACUAUGAUCCACGUGGAAUAAAAGCAAAUAAAAAAGAUUGAUUAAUUAAAAAUCAAUUUCCUUUUGUAUAAUUAAAACUUUAAAAAUACUAAAGAGAGAAAAAAGUGCAAACCAUUACACGAUGCUCUAAUUAUUCAGGCAAUUUAAUCACAUAUAUGAACUUUGUAUAUUUGACAUCUCACAUUCAUUUUACAUACACAGUCCUUAUCUAUGACAUUGAUUUAUUUGGAAUGGAAUAAUUUAAAAAAAAAAAAAAAAAAAAGCAAAAUCCAUCUUUUCCAAUUUGUAAGAUAAACGGAAUCAGGCAGCAUUCAAGGUAUAGCUUUGCUAUAUAAAACCAUAAGCACCAGUAAGACUGUUCUUGAUCUGUAUAUUAGGAUUUGCAUUACUGAGACCAAAAAAACUUUUUGCAAUGCAUCCUCAUUGCUUCCUGCACUCCUUACUCUGCUUACUCAGUUACUCUUCUUGUCGCUGCUGCGGCGACUAGGAAGCGAAUCACCCUUGGAAGGGAAUUAAAGACCUCAAGGAUCCAUAUGUGAUAGGCAUCGCAGAGGUGGGGGUCUGAGAAUACAAGAAGAAUGUCACAGGCUCGAACAAGUUAGUGUUUCAAAAAGUGACUUGGGGGCAAACCGUGUUUAUUUCAAGCACGUUUUAUGGUCUUGUCAUUGCGGCAAAAAAUGAGUCGUUACCUAUCCCGCCAGAAGAGUAUAGACUUGGUGUACGGGACAGAUUUCAAACGAGGUUGUUCAGGAGCUUAGAGCACUUAGCGUGCUCUUUUGCCCUGUGGACAAGCUCCAUUUGCAAUCCAAUCCCCUCCCAAACUAGCCCCAGCCUAUUCGGGCAAUUGGGCUAAAGGGGAGCUUGUGGGAGAGGGUAGUGGGAGUCAAAGGCCCAAGUGCCUGAGGGGGAGUGAUGCAAGGUUGAUUUUGGCAUGACGUCAGCCACGUUAUAAAAAAUUUUGCGUCAGGCGUGCGUUUCGAGCGUAUUUUUAGACGAUGGGACUCACGUGUCAUCCCCACUCAGUCACUUUGAAUCUGGACCGUUUGAUUUCCAGAUCAACAGUCCAGUUUUUUCAGCUUUAAAUCUUUUUUAGAAAAAGAAAAAAUAAGAAAUGUUUGGGUGGGCCACGUGUCUCAUUCUGGAUGGUUGGAUUUCAAAUUUUUUGUAAUUCGACGGUCCAGAUUAAUUAAGUUAAUAAUUUUUUUUAAAACUAAUUAAAAAUCUGAAGAAAAAAAAUUAAAAUUUUUUUUUUUUUUAAUUUAUAAAUACCUUACCAUUUUCUCCCACCUUACACCGCAUUUCAAUAUUUUCAACGAUUCUAAAUAGGUAAGGACAUGUCGCGCGACAUAAUUGGUUAAAAAUCUUUUCGAAAUCUAUUCAAAAAAAUUGUACUUUCGGAUAAUGACACGUGACGUGACGAGAUCAGUUAAAAAUCUUAUUCAAAAUUUAAAUUUAAAUUAUUUUUUAUCAUUUUAUAAAAUAAAAAAUAUUAAUAUUUUAUUGCCUAUUGCCAUGGCUAUUCAUCUUAGAGGUGGAAAUGCAAAAGGCAAUUACUGUUCAUUAAAGGCAAUUACUAUUCAUUAGAGGGGAUUCAAUUGCCAAUUGUCAUGAGGAGCCCUUACACAUUGGAAUUGCUCUUAAGACAAGAUGAUGGCUCUGAUGUUUAGUAUUUCACAUUUAGGGUUUAGUGCAUGUCAAUUUCAAUCGUCUCGCUGUUGGGUUAUAUUAGAGAGACUGAACGGAGUGCAGAAUAAAACUUGGCCCAUAUUUUGUUGUGCUAGAUAUAUUUGUUAUAUAUAAUUCAUAAUGCGAGAGUUGGUAGCUGUUAAAAGUAUAAACCAUUAUAUUUGUGUUGAAUUAGUGGCCAAGUGGCCAACUUUCGGCUAAUAAACAAUCAAUAAUAUUAACAAAAGGAAGGUGGACAACAUCAUGUGUCUUUGGUGAAAAGAAAAUGAUGAUGUCUGUUGAGGAAUGAUUAUUCCUUUUGCUUUGGCUUUUUCAAAGGUAGAGAAUUCGGUUUUUGUGCUCCCACUUGUUGCCUUUGGUAAAGAGAGAACCCGAGGGAGAGUUGAAAAAGGAGUAGAAAAUAGAGAGCAUUUUCUUAUUGCAGUUGCAACAGAGCAUUAGAGCAGAGAAGAAGGGGUGCCGCAUCCCCAUUGGAAGAGGGCUCCUCUCUUUGGUUACUAAUCAUCCACCAAAGUAGUUGUUGUUGUAAUAGCUUUGAGCUUUGUAUAGAGAGGAAAUUAUUCAUUAUAUUUCUCUCUAUUUGUUUCUUUGGUGUGUGAGAGCUAUUAGUUGUAUUAGGGUCUUGGGUUGUGAGCUUGCCAAAUCUUUGUAAACUCUCAUUUGGUUAAUAGCAAGGUUCUAAAAAACGCUAGGCGCUAGUCGGGCGGCGGGCUAGCGCCUAGGCGGCUAGGCAGCCUAGGUGGAUUUAGGUAAAUUUCUUAUAUAUUUUAUGAAUUAAUUAAAUUUAUUAUAUCAAAUGUAAAUAAUUAUUUACUAAUAUGUUAUUUCUUAUAAAAGAACAUACAUAUGUGAAUGUUUUUUGUACAUAUAUAAUAUGCUUGCCUAAGAAAAAAAAUAUUAUCUAAAUAAUUUAUAAUUUAUAUAAGAUUUAUAUACAUGUGUAUAUAUAAUAUAUAUACACAAUGUAUACAUGCAAAACUUUUAAAAAUAUAAAAAGCCCAUGGGUGGUUUAAAACCGUCCACCUCAUCUCUACUCUUUCACAUCACCUGUCCAUAGGUGGUUUUCAUAAUUAAAAGUUUAAAACCUUGUCAGAGUCCAUGGUUUUCAUUAUUAAAACCAUGCUAUUGACCUUGGAUUCCCUAGGAGCCAACCAUAAAUAUAUACAGUACCCAAUCUCUCACUCUGUCUGUAAAUUAGUCAUUGUUAACUUCUUAUUGUUGUUUCAGUCUUAGCAAUUCGAAGCAGCAAGCUUUCGACACUCCCAAAUCAAAAAAAAAAAUGAGGCCAUCAAUCUCCAUCGCCAGAUCCGUACACCAAGUCGCUCGCCGCUCACCGUAGCUACUCAUCCGCCUCCGUCCCCGAAUGGAAGGUCACCGUUCUCGGUGCCGCCGGUAGCAUCGGCCUCCUUAUGAAGCUCAACCCUCUCUCUCUCUCUUCUCGCACUCUUCACAGACGAGCUGCAGAUGCAUUUUUUCUUCCCUCGUCUUCACAUAGACAAGUUGCAAAAAUUCACUUGUUGUCUCUCUCUCUCUCUCUUCACACUCUAUCUUCCCUCAUCUUCAUAGAAUCUGAAAUUAUGAAUUAGAAGUUAGAAACUCAUAAUAGAGAAAAAAAAGAACCGCCCAGCCGCCUAGCACCGCCUAGGCCGCCUAGGCAUCACCUAGGCGGCCGCCUAGAGCUCGACCGAUUUUUCAAGCCGAUUUGCAAUAAAACGCCUCGGAUGGUGCCUAGGGCGUUUUUUAGAACACUGGUUGAUAGUGGAUUAUUAGGUGAGCUCCUACUGCUCUGAGGACGUACUCCAGUUACACUGACUGUUGAGGAAUCUCGUUAAAAUCGGUGUCUUUUAUAUUUUGUUCUUGCAUUCCAUUUGAUAUAUUUUCUGUGGGUUAGUUUGAGUUGGUUCCAAUUGGUUUGGUGCUAUCCUAGCACAACAAUUGGUAUCAGAGCACUGGUUGCUCUUGGGUACUGACUAGUUGCUAAAUAUGUCAGAUGGGCAAGAUGAGAAUCCUCUUGGAAGCAGCUCCCGGUUUGCAAGAACUACGGUGCAAAAUGCAAAGUUCGAAGUGGAAAAGUUUGAUGGCACAAACAACUUCGGGAUGUGGCAAUGUGAGGUCAAAGAUGUGUUAGCUCAACAAGAUCUACUUGCCGUUUUGGGAGAGAAGCCAGAAGCUAUGUCGAAGCCGGAAUUGGAGAAAUUAAAUUUGUAGGUUUGCUCUUCAAUUCGGUUUUACCUUGCAAAAACUCAAAAGUAUUUUGUGAUGCGGGAAACAUUAGCAAGUGUGUUGUGGCAAAAAUUGGAAGACAAAUAUAUGACGAAGAGUGCAGAGAACCGGCUACACUUGAAGAAAAAGCUCUACCGCUUCCAAUACAAAGAAGGUACAAAAAUGAUUAGACACCUUGAUUCUUUUAAUAAGUUGAUUGCCGACUUGUUAAAUUUAGAUGCGGAUAUUAAGGAUGAAGAUAAAGCCUUUAUAUUGUUGAAUUCCUUGCCGGACUCUUAUGAGCAUUUUGUUACCAUUAUUAUGCAUGGUAAAAAAACUGUGAAAUUUGAAGAUGUGUCAAAUGCCUUGAUGAAUUAUGAAAUGAGGCAUAGAGAUAAAAAUCAUGAUAGUACCUCUGAAACUUUAUUUGUUAGAGGUAGAUCAUCGAAGAGGAGUGAUGCGAAAAUUACUUGACACACAAAUUAAACCCUCUUUUUGACAAUUGUAGUAUAGAUGUAAGUAGGGUAUCGUUCUAGGCCGGGGAUUAGGAGGGAUUGCUAAUCUAUUAAAUUAACUUAAAAAUAUUAAAUAAGACUCAAGGACACAAAACUAGGCUAAAAACUCUAAUAACUCGAAACACACUUAAAAUGACUCAAAAUAAUGAAAACAAUUAAAUUAAACACUAGGAACUGAAAUGGACGGAAAUUAAAUUAAAAGACUAACAAUAAAGAAAACUAAAUAAAUAAUAUAAUUUAAUAAUGGAUGGGUGUUUGGUUUUGAUGAAAAGUAAAUUAAACUUAAUUAAAUUACAGAAUUGACAAAAACAUAAAAUUAAGGUAAAAUGAUAAAUGACGGACUAGCUAGAGGGUUCUUCUCCACACAUGUUAUACUUGCAUACAAAAUGAUUUCCAGUUGCUUUUCGAUAAGCUAUGAAUACUCAACGCCCCAAAUUAACCGUGAAUUGCACUAAUUAACCCUCAGUUUUUCCACAAGUUAUUGGGUUGGAUGAUUGCAUACGACAACCCAAAACAUUCCCUACAAGUUCCCUACAUGAGUUGCAUAAUAGAGAUACAAGCAAGAAUCAUUAAGUUUUAUGAAAAACAUAAGCAUUGACGGGACACUCGUUACUAUGAUUUGCAUGAAACUUAUGCCAAGAAUUUACUUAACGUGAUUGUGACUAGCAACCUUUACUACUUGUGAAUAUAAGUUCAUAACGAUUAGGUGAAAUUCACUUAUAUUCUAGCAUCAAAUUCAUGCAUGUAAAUUAAGCGUGCACUCUCAACCAACAUACACAAAUCAGUUUUUAUACGAACGGAUAAGUAAAUUGAAUUCACAACUUAUAAAAUCACAACCGAAGGUAAUCAAUUCAUAUUACAAAUAUAUUCAUGGCUUUGAAUUAACCUCUAGCCAAAAUAAAUUUAAUUACACAUUAUUAAAACCGAAAUAAAAUAGAAGUUUGAAAAGAUUUAACCGAAAGAGAAUCUGCUGCGUUCGUGCCCACGCUGCCAAGGGUAGCAUUCUGUGCCGUUGGUUUCUCGUUCCUGCGCCUGCAAUUCUCUCCCCUCGCGCUGAUUUCUUCUCUGACCUCACCUCAUGCUCAAGCUGCCCCGUUUCUGCCUCACUGCCCUCUCCUUUGCUCUCUCCACUCUCACGCUGCCCAAAAGGGCAGCUCCCUGUGCUCACCCUGUCCCUUGCGUCUCUGCGAGCUGCCCAAAGGCAGCUCCCCCCCUGCGUUCUCUCCCUUUCACGUUUUUAUAUCUCCCGCGCCAGUUCUCUCUCUACAUAGCUGCCAACGCAGCCUUUCUUUUUUUAUUUUUCUAUUCCCGCAUGCACCUCACUUCUCUGACUUCUUUUCUGCCGUCCCUCACGUCUCCCCGCGCUGGCACUGCAGCUUUGCUGCUUCUCUCUGACCUCGCUGCCAAAGGGCAGCAUUAUUCCCUUUCCGCGCUGCCUUCUGCUCAUUUUAUUCCUUUUCCUCCUGGCAGCCUCGCUACCUUACCUCUCUCCUCAGCUGCCCACGCAGCUAUUCCUUUCUCUUCCUUCUUUUACGCUGUCUCCUUCCACUUCUUCUUUAUUCUAUUAUUUCCUUCCAUUCUUCACAUCUCACUUCUUUCUCUCCCUGCACACAUUUCCUUUUUCUGCUAUUUUUUUAUUCUUUUUUUUUUCUUUUCUUUAUUCUUUCUACAAAACAUAAAUAUGAUGAUGUUUCACAAAAAUAACGUAAAUAGCUUAAAAAUAUAAGGAACUAACUAAGAAAAGACGAGUGAAUUCGAAGUAAAAAUAUAUAUAAAUAUGAUCCGAUCAAAUACCCCCACACUUAACUUUUGCUAGUCCUCGAGCAAAACAAAGAAAACAAGAACAAGAAAUAACAAGAAAAACAUUAGCUUCCCUCUAUAUGACCCUCAUAGAAUUUCAUUUAAGAAAACAAAUCAUCAAGAAUCAUAGCUAGCAUCAAGAAACUAAUCCAAGUUCAUCUUCCUUAUUCAAAUAUUAGCAGUAAUCUUUAAAUCAUCCUUGAAGUGUAGUGUGUGAGAUAGUCAUGCUAAUGCAAUUUCACGUUUUUAUUUUUUUUAAAUCAUCAUAUGCAAACUAGCAACCUUCUCACGGGAUAUGCACUCAAUCACACAUGUGUUUAGUUUUAAUGUGUUUCGCUCAAAGAACCAAAUGUGAAAUUUCUACUAUAAGCUUGCAUAAAGAUCACUUCUCCACAGUCAUAAUUGCAAAACUUAAAUCAAGAGGACUUUUAUUGGAUGUAAUGAGGCUUAGGGAUAGGGUUAUUGAAACGAAAGAAUAGGAAAACACAAAUUCCAAGCUACAUUGCAAGCAAUUCUUUUUCUUUAGAUUUAUAAGAACUCAAGCUCUCCAACAAUUCUUCUAACACCUCCAACCACACCCUUAACUGAAACUUGAAAAACUUUUUAUUUUCUUUGUAUACAAUCUUUCUCUUUUUUUUUUUUUUUUUUUUUUUUUUUUUUUUUUUUUUCACUACAAACAUGAAAUACCCCCACACUUAUUCUUUUGACAAAGACCUUCAAAGUACUUCACAAACAUUCUCAUAAGGCAAUCUCACAUUGCUCACUAGCUUGCUUGGAAAGGGUAAGGAAAAAUGUUUCAGGCAUAAUGGUAGACAUAUCUGGUGAUAAGAAAUAAAAGGCUCAACAUACAUGGUUCAAAUUGGCAAUCUAAUGAUAUCAUUUUUAUUUGGGAAACAUGGUUAUUUGGGCCGUAGUAGUAAACCUAAUGCCUCUAUCAUUUCCAAGUUCAUGCAAUCAAUGACAAACAUUUCGAAAGAUCGUUACGCAAGUUCUAGAGAUGUAUCUCACAUAAGUUCAUCACACAUGAAAGAAUAGGAGUGUAUGAAAAAUGCACACACUUUCAAUCGGCUCAAAAACUCACAUAGGAUGUAUAUGGUCACUAAAUUCACAUAUGAAGCUUUAAGUUAUACUUUAGUUUCACAUUAACAAGGCUAUGUGCAUUUGGUUUUUCAAAGAUGAUCAAACAUGUACAAAACUAACAAGAGAAUUAGGAAUCUCACAAAACACAUGUUAACUAAGUUCUUGAUGAUCAUGGUUCAAAUUUUAUCCAAUUAUAUCAUUGGGUCGGGAAACUAACAAAAAAAAUCUAAUUCAAAACAAUAAGGGAAACAAGACAAUAUUUUUGGAUUUUUAAAUUUUCCGAUUUAUUUUUUUUUUUUUUUUUCACAGAAAACAAAACUAAUUAAGAAAACAAAAAGCAACAACACAGAAACAAAUGAAACCAGUUUGUAGUCGAAGGUACAAAAAAUUUCAAGUUGGUCAUUUUUUUAUACUCUUUACCCCCAAACUUAAACUGGACAUUGUCCCCAAUGUCAGAAAACACUAUAAUGCAAAUAAAAAUAAAAUAAAUAAAUAGUAAGAAACAAAAUAAAACAAUUGGACUGAAAACUUCCCUAAUUUGCAGUAAAAUCAAGCGAUGACCCCCCAAGCUAAAAUUCUGCAAUCAACUUCAAGGGUGGAAAUAACCAAAAGUUUCUGCAAAGAAAAGAAAUAAUUCAUUUAAGUAACACAAGAAAAUAUGAAAAAUGCACGAAAAAUUGAAAAUCACGAUAAAAGACAAUGAAUAGAACUAAUAAGUGAUCAUUGGUCGUGCUUGUUGACUUUCCACAGCUUUCCUCUUGAACUGGUUUGGAAUUCUGAGCGAGAAUUGCACAGUCUGCAUUCUUCUCUGCUUGUUUCUUUAGCAUGGCGGGCAGGCACGAGGUAGAGGUGUUGGUCUGUUUCUUUGUUCAAUCUUUCCAAGUGCCCACCUCUUGCUUUCUUUCUCCCCUUUUUUCCCUAGCUGAGGAUGAAUCAGCACGUUGUCUCCACAUGCUUCGAGGUUUCAUCUUCUUCCCUUAUAAGUGAGAGACGAAGCGGAAACAUAAGAUGAUGAGCACUCGAGAGCAAGUGCUGGCUGGAGAAAGGACCAGGAGAAAGCAUGAUAUGAGAUACUCGUGCUCUCAACCUUUAUGAUAUGAAAUACUUGUGCUCUGGAUGGGUUGGUUGCAGGGGUAUCCCAGGGGAUAAGAAAUACAGAGUGACUCGAGAGGGUUUGUUGGAAAGCCAUUUCAGAGAGAUGAAGAAGUGUUGAGAGGGGUGUGCCUUUGCUGUGGAAGGCGAAGGUAGAUACUUUAUAGGGCUUUUCUUCACAACCGGAACUGUUCUCUCACUCAUUGUCGGCAGCCGGUGGAUGGAUGAAUAGUACAAAUUACGCGCUUUCUGACAAAGCUGCCCGUAAUUUCCGCAAAGCUGUGACGAGUGACAACACGUCUAGACAAAUUUAUCUUUUGAAAUCCGGGGUUCGGCUCGUGGGUUCUGAGCAAGCCCAUAUAUUUCGAGAAAUAAAACGCCUCUUUUGAGAAAAAAGAAUCCGGCUUUUGAGAAAGGAAACUCCUCUUUUGAGAAAAGAAUCAGGCGUUUGAGAAAGGAGCCCCGACUCUUUGAUUUGCGAGAGGACGCUUCUCUGAGGAGCGCCUCUCCGAUUUCUUCUUUUUUUAUAGAGGCGCUAAUUUGUGUUCCACAACACACUUGAGCUCCCUCUUGUAAACACUCCCUUCUUGCACUUGUUUAAUCUUGAUCAUUCCGACUCUCUUCUUUCUUCACCACCUCUGAAAAAUGUCUGGCCCUUCUGAUCGUCGUUUUGACUUGAACCUUGGUGAAUAGGCAGCUCCGCCUUCACCAGACAACAUAUGGCACCCAUCCUUCAUAUCUCCCACCGGUCCUCUUACCGUGGGGGAUUCGGUGAUAAAAAAUGACAUGACCGCUGCGGUGGUGGCCCGGAACCUUGUCACUCCCAGAGAUAAUAGACUGCUCGCUAGACGGUCUGAUGAAUUGGCGGUUAAGGAGUCUCUGGCUCUUAGCGUGCAGUGUGCGAGUUCUGUGUCCAACAUGGCCCAACGCCUAUAUGCUCGAACACGUCAUGUUGAGUCGUUGGUGGCUGAAAUACAGAGUCUCAAAACAAGAGAUUAAAGGGCUCAAGCAUGAGAAUAAAGAAUUGCACAAGCUCGCACACAGCUAUGCCACCAGCAUGAAGAGGAAGAUUGACCAGAUGCAGGACACCCAAUGGUCAAAUUUUACUUGAUCAUCGGAGGUUUGUGGUUUGUUCCAACAACAUCUGCCUUCGUCUUCUGGAGCGGCACCGCGUAGUGAAGCUCCAACUGACCUCUGCCUUCUCCCCAACCUCUGCCGCCUCCUCCUUCUGUGGCCCGCCGACUGCUGAAGCCGCCGCUACUACUGAAGCACCACCCGACCAAUGAAUACUAUUAGUUUACAUCAUUGUAAAAAUAUUUGUACUUUUUUUUUUUUAUGUAUUUUUUUUUUUUUCAUUAAUUUUAAAUUUUAUCUUUUUUUUUUUAUUUAUGUAUGUAAAUUAAUGUAAAGAGACUUUGGUUAACCUUCCCCCACACUUAAACUAAAUAACACAAACUCACAGAAAUCAACCAAAUAACACAACUAACUAAACAAAACAAAAAUGAAAGUAGUAAAGAUAAGGGUGGAAGAAUGCAAAGCUGAUUGGGUUAGUGAUUCCAAAGUCUCCCUUCGUUGAAUGCUUGGGUUGCCUCCCAAGAAGCGCUUGAUUUAACGUCUUUAGCCGGACGCAUCUUUCCUUUAAAUUUCCCUCGGCUCCAUUUGAACCUAAAAUCAAAGAAAGAAAAAUAAAUCAAAUAUCAAAAGUAAAAUACACAAACACCAAUAUAAACAUAAACAAAAACACAAAAAUAAAAGGAUUAGCAAAGUUGCUAAUCCCCGGCAACGGCGCCAAAAUUUGAUGCGAAAAUUACUUGACACACAAAUUAAACCCUCUUUUUGACAAUUGUAGUAUAGAUGUAAGUAUAGGUAUCGUCUCUAGGCCGGGGAUUAGGAGGGAUUGCUAAUCUAUUAAAUUAACUUAAAAAAUAUUAAAUAAGACUCAAGGACACAAAACUAGGGCUAAAACUCUAAUAACUCGAAAACACACUUGAAAUGACUCAAAAUAAUGAAAACAAUUAAAUUAAACACUAGGAACUGAAAUGGACGGAAAUUAAAUUAAAAGACUAAACAAUAAAGAAAACUAAAUAAAUAAUAUAAUUUAUAUAUGGAUGGGUGUUUGGUUUUGAUGAAAAAGUAAAUUAAACUUAAUUAAAUUACAGAAUUGACAAAAACAUAAAAUAUUAAGGUAAAAUGAUAAAUGACGGACUAGCUAGAGGGUUCUUCUCCCACACAAUGUUAUACUUGCAUACAAAAUGAUUUCCAGUUGCUUUUCGAUAAGCUAUGAAUACUCAACGCCCCAAAUUAACCGUGAAUUGCACUAAUUAACCCUCAGUUUUUUCCACAAGUUAUUGGGUUGGAUUGAUUGCAUACGACAACCCAAAACAUUCCCUACAAGUUCCCUACAUGAGUUGCAUAAUAGAGAUACAAGCAAGAAUCAUUAAGUUUUAUGAAAAACAUAAGCAUUGACGGGACACUCGUUACUAUGAUUUGCAUGAAACUUAUGCCAAGAAUUUACUUAACGUGAUUGUGACUAGCAAACCUUUACUACUUGUGAAUAUAAGUUCAUAACGAUUAGGUGAAAUUCACUUAUAUUCUAGCAUCAAAUUCAUGCAUGUAAAUUAAGCGUGCACUCUCAACCAACAUACACAAAUCAGUUUUUAUACGAACGGAUAAGUAAAUUGAAUUCACAACUUAUAAAAUCACAACCGAAGGUAAUCAAUUCAUAUUACAAAUAUAUUCAUGGCUUUGAAUUAACCUCUAGCCAAAAUAAAUUUAAUUACACAUUAUUAAAACCGAAAUAAAAUAGAAGUUUGAAAAGAUUUAACCGAAAGAGAAUCUGCUGCGUUCGUGCCCACGCUGCCAAGGGUAGCGUUCUGUGCCGUUGGUUUCUCGUUCCUGCGCCUGCAAUUCUCUCCCCCUCGCGCUGAUUUCUUCUCUGACCUCACCUCAUGCUCAGCAAGCUGCCCCGUUUCUGCCUCACUGCCCUCUCCUUUGCUCUCUCCACUCUCACGCUGCCCAAAAGGGCAGCUCCCUGUGCUCACCCUGUCCCUUGCGUUCUCUGCGAGCUGCCCCCAAAGCAGCAGCUCCCCCCCUGCGUUCUCUCCCUUUCACGUUUUUAUAUCUCCCGCGCCAGUUUCUCUCUCUACAUAGCUGCCAACGCAGCCUUUCUUUUUUAUUUUUUCUAUUCCCGCAUGCACCUCACUUCUCUGACUUCUUUUCUGCCGUCCCUCACGUCUCCCCGCGCUGGCACUGCAGCUUUGCUGCUUCUCUCUGACCUCGCUGCCAAAGGGCAGCAUUAUUCCCUUUCCGCGCUGCCUUCUGCUCAUUUUAUUCCUUUUCCUCCUGGCAGCCUCAGCCUCGCUACCUUACCUCUCUCCUCAGCUGCCCACGCAGCUAUUCCUUUUCUCUUCCUUCUUUUACGCUGUCUCCUUCCACUUCUUCUUUUUCUUUUCUCUAUUAUUUCCUUCCAUUCUUCACAUCUCACUUCUUUCUCUCCCUGCACACAUUUCCUUUUUCUGCUAUUUUUUUAUUCUUUUUUUAUUCUUUUCUUUAUUCUUUCUACAAAACAUAAAUAUGAUGAUGUUUCACAAAAAUAACGUAAAUAGCUUAAAAAUAUAAGGAACUAACUAAGAAAAGACGAGUGAAUUCGAAGUAAAAAUAUAUAUAAAUAUGAUCCGAUCAAAUACCCCCACACUUAACUUUUGCUAGUCCUCGAGCAAAACAAAGAAAACAAGAACAAGAAAUAACAAGAAAAACAUUAGCUUCCCUCUAUGUGACCCUCAUAGAAUUUCAUUUAAGAAAACAAAUCAUCAAGAAUCAUAGCUAGCAUCAAGAAACUAAUCCAAGUUCAUCUUCCUUAUUCAAAUAUUAGCAGUAAUCUUUAAAUCAUCCUUGAAGUGUAGUGUGUGAGAUAGCCAUGCUAAUGCAAUUUCACGUUUUUAUUUUUUUUAAAUCAUCAUAUGCAAACUAGCAACCUUCUCACGGGAUAUGCACUCAAUCACACAUGUGUUUAGUUUUAAUGUGUUUCGCUCAAAGAACCAAAUGUGAAAUUUCUACUAUAAGCUUGCAUAAAGAUCACUUCUCCACAGUCAUAAUUGCAAAACUUAAAUCAAGAGGACUUUUAUUGGAUGUAAUGAGGCUUAGGGAUAGGGUUAUUGAAACGAAAGAAUAGGAAAACACAAAUUCCAAGCUACAUUGCAAGCAAUUCUUUUCUUUAGAUUUAUAAGAACUCAAGCUCUCCAACAAUUCUUCUAACACCUCCAACCACACCCUUAACUGAAACUUGAAAAACUUUUUAUUUUCUUUGUAUACAAUCUUUCUCUUUUUUUUUUUUUUUUUUUUUUUUUUUUUUUUUUUUUUUUUUCACUACAAACAUGAAAUACCCCCACACUUAUUCUUUUGACAAAGACCUUCAAAGUACUUCACAAACAUUCUCAUAAGGCAAUCUCACAUUGCUCACUAGCUUGCUUGGAAAGGGUAAGGAAAAAUGUUUCAGGCAUAAUGGUAGACAUAUCUGGUGAUAAGAAAUAAAAGGCUCAACAUACAUGGUUCAAAUUGGCAAUCUAAUGAUAAUGAUAUCAUUUUUAUUUGGGAAACAUGGUUAUUUGGGCCGUAGUAGUAGUAAACCUAAUGCCUCUAUCUAUCAUUUCCAAGUUCAUGCAAUCAAUGACAAACAUUUCGAAAGAUCGUUACGCAAGUUCUAGAGAUGUAUCUCACAUAAGUUCAUCACACAUGAAAGAAUAGGAGUGUAUGAAAAAUGCACACACUUUCAAUCGGCUCAAAAACUCACAUAGGAUGUAUAUGGUCACUAAAUUCACAUAUGAAGCUUUAAGUUAUACUUUAGUUUCACAUUAACAAGGCUAUGUGCAUUUGGUUUUUCAAAGAUGAUCAAACAUGUACAAAACUAACAAGAGAAUUAGGAAUCUCACAAAACACAUGUUAACUAAGUUCUUGAUGAUCAUGGUUCAAAUUUUAUCCAAUUAUAUCAUUGGGUCGGGAAACUAACAAAAAAAAUCUAAUCUAAUUCAAAACAAUAAGGGAAACAAGACAAUAUUUUUGGAUUUUUAAAUUUUCCGAUUUUUUUUUUUUUUUUUUUUUUUCACAGAAAACAAAACUAAUUAAGAAAACAAAAAGCAACAACACAGAAACAAAUGAAACCAGUUUGUAGUCGAAGGUACAAAAAAAAAUUUCAAGUUGGUCAUUUUUUUAUACUCUUUACCCCCAAACUUAAACUGGACAUUGUCCCCAAUGUCAGAAAACACUAUAAUGCAAAUAAAAAUAAAAUAAAUAAAUAGUAAGAAACAAAAUAAAACAAUUGGACUGAAAACUUCCCUAAUUUGCAGUAAAAUCAAGCGAUGACCCCCCAAGCUAAAAUUCUGCAAUCAACUUCAAGGGUGGAAAUAACCAAAAGUUUCUGCAAAGAAAAGAAAUAAUUCAUUUAAGUAACACAAGAAAAUAUGAAAAAUGCAAACGAAAAAUUGAAAAUCACGAUAAAAGACAAUGAAUAGAACUAAUAAGUGAUCAUUGGUCGUGCUUGUUGACUUUCCACAGCUUUCCUCUUGAACUGGUUUGGAAUUCUGAGCGAGAAUUGCACAGUCUGCAUUCUUCUCUGCUUGUUUCUUUAGCAUGGCGGGCAGGCACGAGGUAGAGGUGUUGGUCUGUUUCUUUGUUCAAUCUUUCCAAGUGCCCACCUCUUGCUUUCUUUCUCCCCUUUUUUCCCUAGCUGAGGAUGAAUCAGCACGUUGUCUCCACAUGCUUCGAGGUUUCAUCUUCUUCCCUUAUAAGUGAGAGACGAAGCGGAAACAUAAGAUGAUGAGCACUCGAGAGCAAGUGCUGGCUGGAGAAAGGACCAGGAGAAAGCAUGAUAUGAGAUACUCGUGCUCUCAACCUUUAUGAUAUGAAAUACUUGUGCUCUGGAUGGGUUGGUUGCAGGGGUAUCCCAGGGGAUAAGAAAUACAGAGUGACUCGAGAGGGUUUGUUGGAAAGCCAUUUCAGAGAGAUGAAGAAGUGUUGAGAGGGUGUGCCUUUGCUGUGGAAGGCGAAGGUAGAUACUUAUAGGGCUUUUCUUCACAACCGGAACUGUUCUCUCACUCAUUGUCGGCAGCCGGUGGAUGGAUGAAUAGUACAAAUUACGCGCUUUCUGACAAAGCUGCCCGUAAUUUCCGCAAAGCUGUGACGAGUGACAACACGUCUAGACAAAUUUAUCUUUUGAAAUCCGGGGUUCGGCUCGUGGGUUCUGAGCAAGCCCAUAAUUUCGAGAAAUAAAACGCCUCUUUUGAGAAAAGAAUCCGGCUUUUGAGAAAGGAAACUCCUCUUUUGAGAAAAGAAUCAGGCGUUUGAGAAAGGAGCCCCGACUCUUCGAUUUGCGAGAGGACGCUUCUCUGAGGAGCGCCUCUCCGAUUUCUUCUUUUUAUAGAGGCGCUAAUUGUGUUCCACAACACACUUGAGCUCCCUCUUGUAAACACUCCCUUCUUGCACUUGUUUAAUCUUGAUCAUUCCGACUCUCUUCUUUCUUCACCACCUCUGAAAAAUGUCUGACCCUUCUGAUCGUCGUUUUGACUUGAACCUUGGUGAAGAGGCAGCUCCGCCUUCACCAGACAACAUAUGGCACCCAUCCUUCAUAUCUCCCACCGGUCCUCUUACCGUGGGGGAUUCGGUGAUAAAAAAUGACAUGACCGCUGCGGUGGUGGCCCGGAACCUUGUCACUCCCAGAGAUAACAGACUGCUCGCUAGACGGUCUGAUGAAUUGGCGGUUAAGGAGUCUCUGGCUCUUAGCGUGCAGUGUGCGAGUUCUGUGUCCAACAUGGCCCAACGCCUAUAUGCUCGAACACGUCAUGUUGAGUCGUUGGUGGCUGAAAUACAGAGUCUCAAACAAGAGAUUAAAGGGCUCAAGCAUGAGAAUAAAGAAUUGCACAAGCUCGCACACAGCUAUGCCACCAGCAUGAAGAGGAAGAUUGACCAGAUGCAGGACACCAAUGGUCAAAUUUUACUUGAUCAUCGGAGGUUUGUGGGUUUGUUCCAACAACAUCUGCCUUCGUCUUCUGGAGCGGCACCGCGUAGUGAAGCUCCAACUGAUCAACCUCUGCCGCCUCCUCCUUCUGUGGCCCCGCCGACUGCUGAAGCCCCGCCUACUACUGAAGCACCACCCGACCAAUGAAUACUAUUAGUUUACAUCAUUGUAAAAUAUUUGUACUUUUUUUUUUUAUGUAUUUUUUUUUUUUCAUUAAUUUUAAAUUUUAUCUUUUUUUUUUUUUUAUAUGUAAAUUAAUGUAAAGAGACUUUGGUUAACCUUCCCCCACACUUAAACUAAAUAACACAAACUCACAGAAAUCAACCAAAUAACACAACUAACUAAACAAAACAAAAUGAAAGCAGUAAAGAUAAGGGUGGAAGAAUGCAAAGCUGAUUGGGUUAGUGAUUCCAAAGUCUCCCUUCGUUGAAUGCUUGGGUUGCCUCCCAAGAAGCGCUUGAUUUAACGUCUUUAGCCGGACGCAUCUUUCCUUUAAAUUUCCCUCGGCUCCAUUUGAACCUAAAAUCAAAGAAAGAAAAAUAAAUCAAAUAUCAAAAGUAAAAUACACAAACACCAAUAUAAACAUAAACAAAAACAAAAAUAAAAGGAUUAGCAAAGUUGCUAAUCCCCGGCAACGGCGCCAAAAUUUGAUGCGAAAAUUACUUGACACACAAAUUAAACCCUCUUUUUGACAAUUGUAGUAUAGAUGUAAGUAGGGUAUCGUUCUAGGCCGGGGAUUAGGAGGGAUUGCUAAUCUAUUAAAUUAACUUAAAAAUAUUAAAUAAGACUCAAGGACACAAAACUAGGCUAAAAACUCUAAUAACUCGAAACACACUUAAAAUGACUCAAAAUAAUGAAAACAAUUAAAUUAAACACUAGGAACUGAAAUGGACGGAAAUUAAAUUAAAAGACUAACAAUAAAGAAAACUAAAUAAAUAAUAUAAUUUAAUAAUGGAUGGGUGUUUGGUUUUGAUGAAAAGUAAAUUAAACUUAAUUAAAUUACAGAAUUGACAAAAACAUAAAAUUAAGGUAAAAUGAUAAAUGACGGACUAGCUAGAGGGUUCUUCUCCACACAUGUUAUACUUGCAUACAAAAUGAUUUCCAGUUGCUUUUCGAUAAGCUAUGAAUACUCAACGCCCCAAAUUAACCGUGAAUUGCACUAAUUAACCCUCAGUUUUUCCACAAGUUAUUGGGUUGGAUGAUUGCAUACGACAACCCAAAACAUUCCCUACAAGUUCCCUACAUGAGUUGCAUAAUAGAGAUACAAGCAAGAAUCAUUAAGUUUUAUGAAAAACAUAAGCAUUGACGGGGACACUCGUUACUAUGAUUUGCAUGAAACUUAUGCCAAGAAUUUACUUAACGUGAUUGUGACUAGCAACCUUUACUACUUGUGAAUAUAAGUUCAUAACGAUUAGGUGAAAUUCACUUAUAUUCUAGCAUCAAAUUCAUGCAUGUAAAUUAAGCGUGCACUCUCAACCAACAUACACAAAUCAGUUUUUAUACGAACGGAUAAGUAAAUUGAAUUCACAACUUAUAAAAUCACAACCGAAGGUAAUCAAUUCAUAUUACAAAUAUAUUCAUGGCUUUGAAUUAACCUCUAGCCAAAAUAAAUUUAAUUACACAUUAUUAAAACCGAAAUAAAAUAGAAGUUUGAAAAGAUUUAACCGAAAGAGAAUCUGCUGCGUUCGUGCCCACGCUGCCAAGGGUAGCGUUCUGUGCCGUUGGUUUCUCGUUCCUGCGCCUGCAAUUCUCUCCCCUCGCGCUGAUUUCUUCUCUGACCUCACCUCAUGCUCAAGCUGCCCCGUUUCUGCCUCACUGCCCUCUCCUUUGCUCUCUCCACUCUCACGCUGCCCAAAAGGGCAGCUCCCUGUGCUCACCCUGUCCCUUGCGUCUCUGCGAGCUGCCCAAAGGCAGCUCCCCCCCUGCGUUCUCUCCCUUUCACGUUUUAUAUCUCCUGCGCCAGUUCUCUCUCUACAUAGCUGCCAACGCAGCCUUUCUUUUUUUAUUUUUCUAUUCCCGCAUGCACCUCACUUCUCUGACUUCUUUUCUGCCGUCCCUCACGUCUCCCCGCGCUGGCACUGCAGCUUUGCUGCUUCUCUCUGACCUCGCUGCCAAAGGGCAGCAUUAUUCCCUUUCCGCACUGCCUUCUGCUCAUUUUAUUCCUUUUCCUCCUGGCAGCCUCGCUACCUUACCUCUCUCCUCAGCUGCCCACGCAGCUAUUCCUUUCUCUUCCUUCUUUUACGCUGUCUCCUUCCACUUCUUCUUUAUUCUAUUAUUUCCUUCCAUUCUUCACAUCUCACUUCUUUCUCUCCCUGCACACAUUUCCUUUUUCUGCUAUUUUUUUAUUCUUUUUUUUUUCUUUUCUUUAUUCUUUCUACAAAACAUAAAUAUGAUGAUGUUUCACAAAAAUAACGUAAAUAGCUUAAAAAUAUAAGGAACUAACUAAAAAAAGACGAGUGAAUUCGAAGUAAAAAUAUAUAUAAAUAUGAUCCGAUCAAGGAGAUCCUCUUCUAGUAGGAAAAAAUCACACUCUCGACUUAGAAGAAACUCUAAAGGUAGAAAAACCUUGGAAAUGGAUGAAUGUGUCUUUUGUCGUAAUAAGGGUCAUUGGAAGAAAGAUUGUCCUAGGUUGAAGACCAAAAGAAAAGAAAGUUUUGAAGCAUUUGGCUCGGCAUGAGUUGUUCUCUUGCUAGUAUUUGGGAGUAAUUUUUUGUGUUGAUUGUUAAUUAUGUUGUUUUGGCUUGUCAUGGCGUUUUCGGAACUUGGCCAAGGUGGAGAUUGUAGAAUUAGUGGCCAAGUGGCCAACUUUCGGCUAAUAAACAAUCAAUAAUAUAAACAAAAGGAAGGUGGACAACAUCAUGUGUCUUUGGUGAAAAGAAAAUGAUGAUGUCUGUUGAGGAAUGAUUGGGGUGUGAUAUCCACACACCCUUUUUUACUUCUCUCACACCCUUUUAAUUUUCGGUGGUCAGAUUGGAUGAAUUAAAGAAGAUCAAAUGAUAGAAAUUAAUAAGGGGUGUGGGAGAAGUAAAAAGGGGUGUGUGGAUAGCACACCCCAGAAUGAUUAUUCCUUUUGCUUUGGCUUUUUCAAAGGUAGAGAAUUCGGUUUUCGUGCUCCCACUUGUUGCCUUUGGUAAAGAGAGAAACCGAGGGAGAGUUGAAAAAGGACUAGAAAACAGAGAGCAUUUUCUGAUUGCAGUAGCAAAGAGCAGCAGAGCAUCAGAGUAGAGAAGAAGGGGUGCCGUAUCCCCAUUGGAAGAGGGCUCCUCUCUUUUUGUUAGUAAUCAUCCACCAAGGUAGUUGUUGUUGUAAUAGUUUUGAAUUUUGUAUAUAGAUGAAAUUGUUCAUUAUAUUUCUCUCUAUUUGUUUCUUUGGUAUGUGAGAGCUAUUGGUUGUAUUAGGGUCUUGGGUUGUGAGCUUGCCAAAACUUUGUAAACUCUCAUUUGAUUGAUAGUGGAUUAUAAGGUGAGCUUCUACUGCUUCGAGAACGUACUCCAGUUACACUGACUGUUCAGGAAUCUCAUUAAAAUCUUGGUGUCUUUUAUAUUUUAUUCUUGCAUUUCAUUUGAUAUAUUUCCUGUGGGUUAGCUUGAGUUGGUUCCAAUUGGUUUGGUUCUGUCCUAGCACAACAAUUUGAGAUUCUUGGUUUGAAUUCUUCUUGUUUUGGCCAUAAAUAAAAAUAAGGUUUGUUGAGAUCCAAUCUGUUUUUAUAUAGACAAAGUCGCGCGACUUCGGUCAAUCAACUUCGAAGCUCAAUUUGGGAUCCUAUCAUAGGGAUCGAACGACCUUCCCAUAUCUCUUCAACCCGUUCGAUCCGCAAUGGAAAUAUGAUUUGUGGGGGUUUUUUGUAAUCCUCUAGUAAAUUUUAAAUUUUUAUGGGUUAACUUGGAAGUUGGAGACUACUUUGAACUUCUUGUUUUGAGUUUGAAGCACCUGUUUGGUUUUUGGUUCUUCUGAGAAAACUUCAGUUUAAGAGUAUAUAAGUACUUUCAUAUCGAUCUUUUGCUAUAAUUAUCAUAAACUUAAAAAAUGGAUAUAAUUCAAUAUUAAUACUUUUCAUAUCAUAUUUUUGUGGUUAAAAAAUUGAAAGAUACUUCAGAGCAACUAUUACGUGAGGACAAUAAGUAAACUAAAUACCAGUAAAGCAGAUCCACAUAAAAUCGUCAAUUUCUUUAUUUUAACAAAGGGUGAUGCAAGUAAAGCAUCCAAAUUGACAUGCUCAACAAUUUUGAGAUCACUAAAUAUUAGUUUCUAUGGCCUUUAUCUUAAAAAAGGCUAUCAAUUCCCGCCGGAUCCCUGUCCUCGACUGAUGUCUUGUAGUAUUCAGCGGGAUUGUGCAAAGACUCGUUCUUAGCAGCAACAAGAAGCAAAUAUAAGGUGCCUGAUAUAAAUGUUAUCUCAGACGAAAUCAAAUUUUCAAACACUAACUUGUUUGUGACAUUCUUGUUGUACUCAGAAACGGCCCACUCUCCGAUCUCUGUCGUGUUUAAAUCAAUGCAGUUUGUAGGCUUCCAGGUACCGGGAACGUUGUUUGGUGCAGUAGUGGUUACCAGAGAAACCAGUAGAGCAAAGAGUGCGAGAAAGAAGCAAUGAGGAUGCAUUGUAACCAAUGAGUUCUGCUCAAGAAUUAAUAUUAUUUUGGGUAAUUCGAACUCCAAGUCUUGAGGAUGCAUUGUAAUCAAUGCAGUUUUCAAUCUUUUUUUAUUAGUUUUCCUUACUUUUAUCCCGUAUUUUUACUAACCCUGAUGGGUUAAUUUGCAAAGACAAAAAAGUUAAAAAAAAACAUUACAAUUAUUGUGGAAACAAACAAAACAUUGUUACAUGUAAAAAAACAG
rnacentral:lncRNA from 1 species